GUAAAGGAAUGUUGUCGAAAGUUUUCAACAUCCUUGAUUUGAGGUAGAAGAGGAAUUUGGACUUGGAGAGGGCAGAAAUAAGAUUACUUUUCUGUAUUUUUCUGCAAACGGUACAGGAUACUGCCUCAAAAGACUAAUGUUUUCGGUGCAGAAGAGGCUCGUGUGCCUUCUCUCUUGUAACAAGUCCAACAUCCAUCUUUCCUCCUAUCAACUCUGCAGUCUGUUUAGCUUUGCCACUGCCGAAGAGCACAGUUUAAAUCAUAGAUCCAACUUUACGUUGGUCGACCCCCUUGAGUCAUGUGAACUUUCCUCAAAAGAGGCUGCAAAAAGGGCCAAGGAUGGCAUCUGUGAAAAAGAACUUUCAAGUUCAAGUCUUUCCAUUGAGUUCUUCAAGCAGAGCGGUUGGACUGAUGCACAAGUCGUGAAGCUUAUGCAGAAGCAUACCAGGUUUCUACGUGCUAACUUAGAGACUGUCCUGAAGCCGAAGAUAAGAUCUUUGCAGGACAUGGGAUUUUCUGACACUGAAAUAGUUCAGCUGGUUUCAUCAUGUCCGGGUCUGCUCCAUUUUCGUGAUAUCCAACCAAGGAUCAACUUCUGGAGGUCACUUCUUGGUUCUAAUGAGAGGUUAAUUAAGGCCUGCAGGAGGAACAUGUUUCUCCUUACUUCUAGCUUGGCUCAAAAGAUUGAGCCCAAUAUAUCUCUCUUGAGGGAAUGUGGCAUCAGUGAGCAAAACAUCGCGCAGAUGGUAGUGAGACUACCAAGUUUUUUAUGUCAUACAGAAAAAUGUAUCAAGGAAGCGAUCAAACAUGUUGAGGAGUUGGGUGUGUCACGUGACUGUAAAACGUUCCCUCGUGCACUCUUAACAGUCGUGACCCUGAGCAGGUCCAGGCUUGAUGCUACCUUUGCAACCCUGAUCAGCUAUGGGUGGUCCCAACCAGAUUGCGUUGCUGCAUUCAGGAAGCAUCCAUCCAUUUGGUCUUUGUCAAAGAAGACCUUAUGUGACAAGAUGACAUUCCUGAUGAAGGAAGCUGGUUGUGAGAUGACAUAUAUCAUUUGCCGUCCGGUGCUUCUUACAUAUAGCUUGGAGAAGAGGUUGAGACCUCGAUAUGAAGUUCUGAAUUUUCUUGAUCAGAAUAAAUUGCUGGAUAAAGGACAUGACCUGCUAUCUGUCAUCCUGCUAUCUGAAGAGAAGUUCAGAAACAAAUUCCUUUUCGUGCUAUGCAAGGAGAAAUUUAUUGCUCAAUAUGAUUCCUAUGUUGCUGCUGUGCGUGGAAAGCACCACGUUGUUGUGGAAAACUAGGAUUGCAAGUGCUUCCUCGAGACAAAAGUGUAAACCUAAUGCAUGCUGACCGAAACUUAAUCAUUUUACAUUUGUGACAAUUUAAAUUCUCCAAGAGUUUAUUAGAGUAGAACUUCCAUGUUGAUUUUUGGGAUUUUUCCUCUAUUUAUCUUUUUCUACAACCAAAGAAUGCUGAUUCAUAUAUGCUGAUGUCCCAGAAAGUGGAGUUUGGGGGAAGUCAAUUACUUAGGAAAGGUAACAAAAAUAUCAAGCUUUUGUGUUAUGUUUUUACCGUAUCUAGCCAAUUCACAUACUUAUUAUUGAAUUUGAGUUAUGUUGUUGGUUGCAUGGUAUGUAAUUUCAAAUGAUAUUGUUUGUAUCGAGCGGUACCUAUCGGUCUGACAAUAUAUCGAUAUGUGGACCGUUUGCUAUCGAACGAAUCAUGCUUCAGUGCUACAGUAAUAUACUUUAGUAGUUCUAUAGUAAGAGGAAAUCGUGCAGUAAACCUUGGUGUACCAUACGAUACAUGAUACGUCUGUGUUGUAUUGUACCGAGCAAACCUUGAAACAUUGAUAUAUGAUAUGAUAUUGCAUAUCUUGGUUGAUUGUAUCUAAUUUUUUAUAGUAACAUUUUAAUUGUAUUAAGAGAUCAAUUAGAUCACAUAUAUAUCUCCUAUUAAGUAAGCUAUUUUAUUCUUGUGAAAUUAACGAAAAAAUAAGACAGAUUUUAUAAUUUAAAUGAUAAAAAGAUCAGAAGAUUUUCUAGAGAUGUUUCUAUCUAUAGAAUUCAAUGUAUAAACUAUUUAAAAAAUAUUUUGAAUAUAAAUAGUUAUUAUAUAUUUUUAUUACAAAUAAUAUUGUGAAAGAUUGCUUAUAUUUGCAACAUUGGAAUGUGUGUGAUAAUAUCAUUUUCAAUGUUGAUGAUGAAUAGUAGCAACCUUUGUAUGGAUGAUAGUUAUGGAUCAAGAUUUGAACAUAAGAGAAUAGAUCCUAGAUGAAAGUAGAUUAACCAUGCCCAUUUAAUUAGUUAAAUCUAUUGAUGAUUAGAUAAAGCCGAUGAAAUAGAAGGAUAAAAAUUUUAUUUAUAAAUAAGGAUUAAAUAUUUAUAAAUUUAACAUAAUUUUACAUCAAAUAUUUUAUUAUAUCAUUAUAUAUUUGUACUUUUUAUAGUUAUACAUCCAUGGUCUUCAAAAUUUUAAAAAAAUUAUAAAAAAUUUUAUAUUAUAAAUUUUUUUUAAAUGAAAUAAUAAAAAAUUAUGAUUUUUAUUCAAAAUUUUGAAUUGACAAUUUUUGAAAUGGAUGAUUCUGAAAUGGUGAAUAAGUCUUAAAUAUAACUUAUAUUUAAAUCAUCAAAUCUUAUAUUUGCUGGUUUAGUUUGUGAAUUGAAGGACAAUUUACUUGUAACAGUAGAAAGAGGUUUGAAUGCUUUAAGUUUGACAACAUAUGUUUUUUACAUAGAGCAUAAAUAGUUCGGAUAUUACGGCUUUUUGUUAUUAGUGUGAUUGUUAGCACUUGUUGGCUUUAUUGGCAAAUUCUCACUGAUUUAGAUUAUGGCUUUAUUGAGAAAGUUCUUUACUACAGCUGAAGCUAUUGAUGUCACCGGCCGCCCGAUAAGUGGGCCGGGGAUGCGAGUUCAACCCGGUGCGGCCCGCCUGAUUCGGGUUGUGUCGAGCCCGAGUCAAGUCAAUUUGGAUCUCUGGUUCGAUUGAACCAGAUGAGAACGGCAUUCUCAAAAUUCCCACCCGUGCCCUAACUGCAGCGGUGAAAGUGUCUCCUCCUAUAUAGCGACCGCGAAUGCGGCGUUUUACUUGGCGAAAGGCGGCUGAAGCGGCGGCAUCUUCCUCCGUCGGGCUUUUAUCGCUGCGGCGUUUUCCUCGGCGAACGGUGGAUGCUGCGGCUUCCUCUCCGUCAGCGAACGGUACAACGCCCGGUAUCUCUCUCUUACUCCUCCUCCUCCUCCUUCGCCGUCACACAAUCCCUUCUCCUCCCUCUUCCCCCUUUCGUCGCAGCUCUCCCGAUUCCCCGACACCAUCCUCCUCCUCCCUCUUUCACCCGUUCAUCGCAGCCCCCCGCCCCUCUUCCCCGAUCCAUCCCCCUCCUCCACUUCAUCACAGUCCCCGCCCCCCGUUUUCCUACUCCGAUCCCAACGGUCCCCUCUCAGUUUUCCUACUCCGGACCCGACAGCUCCCUCUCCAUUAUCUUGCUCCGGACCCGACAGCCCCCGUCUCCCUCCUCUACACCCCUCUUCGCCCUCUCUAUACAUCUUCCCGUCCCCUUUCCUUCUCCCUGAUAGUUACCCGCUACCCUCCCAACAAGUAGUCAGCAGCAUGUUUUGAGCAUUUACUUUAAAGAAAUAGCAAGUCACAGUAUGCAAGUUAAAUACUGUUGUUAAGAUAGAAAGCAGGAGAAGUGCUGCUUUUAUAAAGAGCAAAGAGAAUUGGGGAGUCUUAGAGAAAAAUAAAAAAACACGGAAAAGAUAGAACAAGAGAUAGCAGAGACAAUAAUUGGGUCACUGUCCAAAGAAAAUCAUAAUUAUUUGUCAAUAGAAUCAUGCACAAGUCGGACUAUUCCUCAUGUGAAGCAUUUUAAUUAAAAAUAUACCUAAGAUAAUACUAAUUUGACUAGGUUUCGCGAAAGAAGCUCCCUCAACAGCAACUGCUUAUUUUGAUGAAGUGUUUGGUUCAUCAAACCUCUUAGUUUUCUUAUUAUGUAUACUGCAUUGCAGUUUCCUUUUCAAGCACAUCAGAAAAUUUCAACACAAAACCCCAAAUGUUACAAAGGACUCGAUCAAUCUAAACUACAAGUUGAGUAAACAAAUAGAAUUUGACUUGAUUUCCAAACCCGAAAAUAGACCCAAAAUCUCAAAUGUAUUUGGUUAGGUAUAACCUUACACCUUUAUGUCAGCAUAGUGUGUUCUCUGCUGUAGUGCUGAAAGCAACUAUCUCAGCUACUUGAGGCUUGUUCGUACCUCAAAACACACAGGCCUGCUUAUAUUUGAAUUGUCAAAUCUUGUAUUUGCUGGUUUAGUUGGUGAUUUGAAGGGGCCUUUUCCAGUAACAACAGAAAGAGAUUUGAAUGCUCUUACUUUAACUACAGAUAUUUUCUUAUACAUAGUUCGAUGAUGCAGAAGAUCCAUAUGGCUGAUCAUGAAUAGUUUGGACAUCAUGGCUUUUGUUAUUAUUGUGGUUGUUUGCACUUGCUGGUUUUAUUGGCAAAUUCUCACUGAUCUAGGCUUUUUUUUUCUUCAUUAAUGAUAUUUAGCUGACGCCACAUAUAAUUUUUUUAACUGUAGUUGAAGUUAUUUACAUGACCAAUCUUUCUCAUAAAUUAAGUUCCUUUAUCAGCAUAGAACCAAAUAAACUAGUAGCAUUUCUUGAUUGAGGCAGUUUUCUUAUCUCUUUAUUCAUUUUUCAGAAAAUUUAUUGCCUUUCUCUGGUCUUCCAGCUAUGUUUUUUUUUUUUUUUUGUCAAGUUGCUCAUCAUCAUCAACAAUGCCCUUUUUAGCAUGUUGAACCUUACAAAUUACCCUUGUUAAAUAAUUAAACAGUGUCUUUUCUGCUUACCAGUCUUGCUAGACUUUUAACUAGAUCAUCUCUUUACAUUCUUGAUGAAAUGGAUCAAUUACUCUGGUAGUUCUCAUUUGAAAUGUUUCAGGUUUUAGUUGUAGGACAUUAGUGAAUCUGAUGUUAGAGAAAACAUUAUGCAUCUUCCACUUAUUCUGAAUUCUGUAGUACCAUUAGCAAGUCAUUGAUGUUCAACCUAUAAGUAUAAACUUGAGUAUCGUCUGUAUACGAUCGACAAUGUAAAUGCCUAUGCCACUCUUAUGCAGCAUAUUUGAUGAAGAUACAUUUGAUAUGGUUUUUAAAUUGCUACAGGAAUAUAGGAUGCUUGGUAGUGUCUAAACCCACCAACUACAAUAUAAAAAUAAGUGGAAGAUAGUGUCUGUGCUCUGGUGUUAUAUGAUGCCAGUAUUUUAGUGGUGGAGAAUUGCUCUGAUGUGAGCAUUUGAAUGAGUAACGAAUUAUAGGUACUCGUUAUCAACUCUCAAACACCAUUUAGAGACUUAUCUCUGGAAGAAUUGGCUGAUUGGAAUUGAAUGCAUGUGGAUUAACACAAGUGGUAUAGGAAUGCUGUCUGAGACAAAUGAUUAGUUGAAAGUUUUCAAUAUCCUUGAUUGGAGGCAGAAGUUGAAUUUGGACUUGGAGAGGGCAGAAAUAAGACUACUUUUCUUGUAUUUUUCUGCAAACAGUAGGUGAUACUGCCUCAAAAGACAAUGUUUUUCGUGCACAAGAGGCUCUUUUGCCUUCUCUCAUGUAACAAGUCCACCGUCCAUGUUUCUUCCUAUCAACUCUGCAGUCUGUUUAGCUUUUCCACUGCCGAAGAGCACAGUUCAAAUCAUGGAUCCAACUUUACGUUGGUCGACCCCCUUGAGUCAUGUGAACUUUCCUCAAAAGAGGCUGCAAAAAGGGCCAAGGAUCGCAUCUGUGAAAAAGAACUUUCAAGUUCAAGUCCUUCCAUUGAGUUCUUCAAGCAGAGCGGUUGGAGUGAUCCACUAGUCAUGAAGCUUUUGCAGAGGGAACCCAGGCUUCUACGUGCUAACGUAGAGACUAUCCUGAAGCCCAGGAUGAGAUCUUUGCAGGACAUGGGAUUUUCUGACACUGAAAUAGUUCAGCUGGUUUCAUCAUGUCCGUGUCUGCUCUAUUUACGUGAUAUCCAACCGAGGAUCGACUUCUGGAGGUCACUACUUGGUUCUAAUGAGAGAUUAAUUAAAGCCAGCAGGGGGAACAUGUUUCUCCUUACUUCUAGCGUGGCUCGAAAGGUUGAGCCCAAUAUAUCUCUCUUGAGGGAAUGUGGCAUCAGUGAGCAAUGCAUCACGCAGAUGGUGGUGGCAGUACCGAGUUUUUUUUGUCGAACGAACAAAUGUAUCGACGAAUCUAUCAAACAUGUUGAGGAGUUGGGUGUGUCACGUGACUGUAAAAUGUUCCCUGAUGCACUUUUAAAUGUCAUGACCCUGAGCUGGUCUAGGUUUCAUGCUACUUUUGCUACCCUGAUGAGCUUUGGGUGGUCCCAACCAGACAGUCUUGCUGCAUUCAGGAGGUAUCCAGUCAUUUGGAAUUACUCAAAGAAGAACUUAUGUGACAAGAUGACAUUCCUGAUGAAGGAAGCUGGUUGUGAGCUGACAUAUAUCGUUGGUCAUCCCGUGCUUCUUACAUAUAGCUUGGAGAAGAGGUUGAGACCUCGAUAUGAAGUUAUGAAUUUUCUUUAUCAGAAUAAAUUGCUGGAUAAAGGACAUGACCUGCUAUCUGUCAUCCUGCUCUCUGAAGAGAAGUUCAGAAACAAAUUCCUUUUCCUGCUACGCAACGAGAAAUUUAUUGCUCAAUAUGAUUCCUAUGUUGUUGCUGUGCAGGGAAAGCAUGACGUUAUUGCGGAAAACUAGGAUUGCAAGUGCUUCCUUAAGACAAAGUAUAACCUAUUGCAUGCUGACUGCAAAUUAAACACUUUAUAUUUGUGACAAUUUAAAUUCUGCAAGAGUUUCUUGGAGUAUUAACUUCCAUGUUGAUUUGGUGAUUGUUCUAUUUAUGUUUUCUACAACAAAAGGUACUCGUUCUUUUAUGCUGAUGUCUCAGAAAUUGGUGUGGGGGAAAGUCAAUUACUUAAGAAAGGUAACCAAAAUAUCAAGCUUCUGUGUUCUGUUUCUAUCAUAUUUACCUGAUUCUGGCAGCCAUAUUGAUUACCGUGCUGUCAUUUAGAUGAUUGUGAUCUAAUUUAAUAAAGAUACCUUCCUUUUGAAUGGGGACAUCUCAAAGAAUUAUGUAAGAGCCGCUUGGACGGAAAAUACUUUAAAGGCAACCGCAGAUGUGGAAAUGACUAUAACAUUUUUGUUGUAGUCAUCCACAGUCGCUCAUUAAAUAAUUAAGUCCAGUUUAACUGUUUAAUCGAACGCAUUAAACAGCCGAUCUAUAUUAAGUUUGAUACACAUCUGUAUUGUUAUAUAAUUAGAUUGUGUGUUUUACUUUGCUUGUGCGAUCUAAUAGACCCAACGUGGCUCCCGUGUUUUGUUUUAUUUAACUAUUAACGCCCAUGCAUUUUGGAUCAUUUAUGUUUAUGUUUGAAUUCAUACCCAGAAUGAUUAUUGAAUUUGAGCUUCAUUGGGUGCAUAUCUAUUUUUUUGAUAAUAAUAGUUGAAUUAUAUUAAGAGAACAAUUACGAGGUAGUUAAUAAAAUGAACACAUCUAUGGCAUAUAUCUACAGUAAGUUAUGAAGCUUCUUUUUUUUUUAUUGUAAUGUUGUAUUAUCAUUUUAGUGUCUGAAAUAUAAGAAACAGUAUUAUUAUUUUUUAUAAUAUGUUUAGUUGACAAAAUUUUAAUUUAACUAAAGAUUCUAAGAGGAAAGAUUCAAAAGAUUGGAUAGAGAAGAUUAUUGGAUGGUUGUUGAGCGACUACGGAUUAUAAGCUGAAAAGUUAAGAUUAUUUUCAGAAGUUCCGAAAGAAUUUAAAAGAUAUCUGUUGCUAUUCUUUAUAAGAAUAUAUAAACAUCGACUACUAAGAAUUCAAGAUAAUAGUAUAUGUAAUUUUUGCUUCGAUUAUGUUAUGAAACUUCAUUUUUUUCUUAUAAUGUUGUUUUAUCAUUUUGGUGUCUUCAACAUAAGCAAUAGUAUCAUUAUUUUUUUAGUGAUAUGUUUAGUUACUAAAAUUUUAACUUUAUAAAAAAUUCUAAGAGGAAAGACUCAAAAAAGUGAACAAAAUAUAUUGUUGGAUGGUUGUGGGGGAACUAUUGAUUAUAAAUCAGUAAUGAUGUUAUGAUGUUGAAGAGUGUAAACUUCUUUUUAAAAAUUCUGAAAAGACAUAAAAGAUAUGUAUUUGUAAGAUUUUGGAUUAUAAAAAAAUACAAAUGGAAUUUAUAUUUUUCAGCAAUAGUUUUUGAACCAAACAACUUUGAAUAAUUAUCUUAUUGAAUUGUUUCUCAGCACUUACGUAUUUUUUAUCAUGGGAAGGAUCUAUUAAGUUGCAGCAUCAUCAGGCCUCAACAAAAAUCAUCUAUAUUUCUGUAAGGUCGAUAAAGUCAUCAUAUAAGUAAGAUACUUGAAACUGAUUAUGACAGACUACUUCUAUUGGGAUGCAUAUGUAAAUUAUGACAGACUACUCCAAAAUAGACCCAAAAUCUCAAUGUAUUUAGUUAAGUAUAACUAGUCCUAACUAAAUCACAACUGAUUUAUUGUGACGGGUUUGAAUCACAACUGAAUCAAUGCAUUUAGUUAGGUAUAAAUAUGACCGGUUUGAAUUGAAUCAAACAGGUUCGUUGAUUGCAAAUCAAAUCGUAAUCUACCAGGGGUAAUUUAAUUGAGGUUUCUAGGUUUGAAAAAUUAGAAUCAAUGAUCCCAUAAUUGAUUAUUCCGCUUCCUAUUUAAACCAUCUAUUUGAUGGUGUUCUAUAUAGAUAAAAACCUCGAUCAGAUAGGUUCUCGAUGGAUAAUUGGGCUUAAACAAUUGGGCCCAAUAGUUGGACCAACAAUCGAAUGAAUGUCAAAUUGGUUAUAUUUAGGGAUACUUUAGUUAUUUUAUAAUUAAAAAUAUUAAAAAUUAGAAAAUAAAUUAGUCCUUCCAAUAAGCAAAUAAUAGCUAGUUAUGAAGAUAUUUUAGGAAAAAAAAUUUAAAAAUCCUAUAGAUACCCCAAAAAUCUUUUAUUUUUUUCCAGAUUACUUGUUGAAGGUUGAACGGUUUGAUGCUCUUUUCUUAAUCCGAUGGCAAGUGGAAGCUAUCACUUUACCACCUAAGAGGCUUUUGGAAAUUUGAUAUUGGUAAUUCAAGAAAACCAACGUAUCAAUGUUGAUGUUAAGAUGUUGAUAUGAUGGCUUUUAAAAAUAUAAGAAGAUAUGAUGACCAAACUCAAGUUAGACAUCUUCUAAGUUAUACUUUAAAAAUGUCUGAAACACUGAUGGCUCCUUCCAUAUCAUAUGUAAUUAUUGAGAUCAAAUUUUUAAAUAUAAAGAAGGAAGAGGAUAUAGAAUAUUUUGAAAGAAUAUUACGAAGAAACAUCCAUCACAAGUUAGUACGGUGAAAGUCAAAAGUAAAUUUUCAGAUACCCUACUAAUCUCACUUUUUGUUAUUCUAUUAAAAAAAUUAUGAAACAUUAGCUAUAUUUAUUUUUGUUAAAUAUUUAUUUUUUUAGUUUUGGUGAACAAGUUGGAUUUAUUGAUUAUUAUCAAUAGGCUUUAAAUCAUAUCACAUAAUGAAUUUUCAUAUCACUCUUGCUCGCACUUUAUAUAAUCUUUAUAAAAAUAAUUAUCAUGUUUUUAUUUAUAUUGAUAUUUGGAGUUCAAAUGUACUCAUAAUAUUGUUAUUGGAUUGAUAGUGAUUGGACCAUGCAAAAUAAAUUAUUGCUUUUAGAGAAGUUCAGAAAGAAAUUUCUUUUCCUGCUAGGCGAGGAGAAAUUUAUUCCUCUAUAUGAUUCCUAUGUUGCAGCUAAUUCAGAGACUUAAAUUUGAGCUACGUUGUUGGUUGUAUCUCUAAUUUUUUUUAUAGUAACAGUUUAAUUGGUUGUAUCUCUAUUUUUUUUAUAUAGUAACAGUUUAUUUGUAUUAAGAGAACAAUUAAUAAUAUGCACACAUCUAUAUCUCCUAUUAAGCAAGCUAUUUUAUUCUUGUGAAGUUAAUGAAAAAAAUAAGGCAGAUUUUAUAAUUUAAAUGAUAAAAAGAUUAGAAGAUUUUCUAGCGAUGUUUUUACCUGAUGGAAUUCAAUAUAUAAACUCUUUAAAAAAUAUUUCGAAUAUAAAUAGUUAUUAUAUAUUUUUAUUACAAAUAAUAUUAUGAAAGUUCGCUUAUAUUUGCAACAUUGGAAUGUGUGGGAUAAAAUUUUAAAGAUUUUAAAACUGUUUAAUAAUGUAAUAUAUACUUUUACUGGUGUUUAUUAUCUUACUAUGCAUAUUUUUUUGGUUGUUUGCAUUAAUAUGCUUGGUGAAUUAUAAGAACAUCAAUAUGAUAAUAAUUUAAAUAUGACAAUAGUGAUUAUAAAAUUAAAAAGGAUAAAUUAUUUUUUAAUUCUAUCGAUUUAUUUAAUUACAUAUUUAAUUACAUUUGACUUUAGUAAUUAUUCAAUUAUUUAACCAUUUAUUAUGAAAUUUAGCGGUAAAUGAUAUUGGUCAUAAAAUAAGAGAUAUUAAAAAAUUUAUUGUUAACUUAUAUAACUAUUAUAGUGCUAACUAUAGUAGACAACAUGGUACCUUUCUAACUAUAGUAGACAAAUUAUUUUUAAAUAAAAUAAUAAAAAAAAAUUAUUGGUUCAAACUUGAAUCGAAAUGGAUCAAACCGAAACCAAUUCUUGCCGAUUCGAUUUUUAUUCCAAAUUUUGAAUUGACAAUUUUUGAAAUGGAUGAUUCUGAAAUGGUGACUAAGUCUUAAAUAUAACUUAUAUUUAAAUCAUCAAAUUUUAUAUUUGCUGGUUUAGUUUGUGAAUUGAAGGACAAUGUAUUUGUAACAGUAGAAAGAGAUUUGAAUGCUUUAAAUUUGACUAUAUAUAUGUUUUCUUACACAGAGCAUAAAGAGUUCGGAUAUUUUAUGGCUAUUGUUAUUAGUGUGAUUGUUUGCACUUAUUGGAUUUAUUGGCAAAUUCUUACUGAUUUAGAUUAUGCCAGUGAAGAUUCUCACUGAUUUAGAUUAUGGCUUUAUUGAGAGAAAGUUCUUUACUACAGCUGAAGCCACUGAAGUCAAUGAGAGCCCGAUGAGUGGGCCGGGCGAGAGAGUUCAACCGGGUGCAGCCCAGGAGCCCGCCUGAUUCAGGUUGUGUCGAACCCCCGAGUCAAAUCAAUUUGAGGCAAUGGUUCGAUUGAACCAGAUGAGAACGGCGUCCUCAAAAUUCGCACCCGUGCCCUAAAUGCAGCGGUGAAACUGUCUCCUUAUUCACAGCCACUGCAACUGCGGCGUGUACCUUGGCGAUAGCCGGCGGCGGCGGCGGCGGCGGCAUCUUCCUCCGUCGAGCUCUUAUCGCUGCGGCGUUUUCCUCGGCGAACGGUGGAUGCUGAGGCUUCCUCUCCGUCAGCGAACGGUACAGCGCCCGGUAUCUCUCUCUUACUCCUCCUCCUCCUCCUUCGCCGUCACACAAUCCCUUCUCCUCCCUCUUCCCCCCUUUCGUCGCAGCUCUCCCGAUUCCCCGACACCAUCCUCCUCCUCCCUUCUCCCCCCUCCUCCCUCUUUCACCCGUUCAUCGCAGCCCCCCGCCCCUCUUCCCCGAUCCCUCCCCCUCCUCCACUUCAUCACAGUCCCCGNNNNNNNNNNNNNNNNNNNNNNNNNNNNNNNNNNNNNNNNNNNNNNNNNNNNNNNNNNNNNNNNNNNNNNNNNNNNNNNNNNNNNNNNNNNNNNNNNNNNNNNNNNNNNNNNNNNNNNNNNNNNNNNNNNNNNNNNNNNNNNNNNNNNNNNNNNNNNNNNNNNNNNNNNNNNNNNNNNNNNNNNNNNNNNNNNNNNNNNNNNNNNNNNNNNNNNNNNNNNNNNNNNNNNNNNNNNNNNNNNNNNNNNNNNNNNNNNNNNNNNNNNNNNNNNNNNNNNNNNNNNNNNNNNNNNNNNNNNNNNNNNNNNNNNNNNNNNNNNNNNNNNNNNNNNNNNNNNNNNNNNNNNNNNNNNNNNNNNNNNNNNNNNNNNNNNNNNNNNNNNNNNNNNNNNNNNNNNNNNNNNNNNNNNNNNNNNNNNNNNNNNNNNNNNNNNNNNNNNNNNNNNNNNNNNNNNNNNNNNNNNNNNNNNNNNNNNNNNNNNNNNNNNNNNNNNNNNNNNNNNNNNNNNNNNNNNNNNNNNNNNNNNNNNNNNNNNNNNNNNNNNNNNNNNNNNNNNNNNNNNNNNNNNNNNNNNNNNNNNNNNNNNNNNNNNNNNNNNNNNNNNNNNNNNNNNNNNNNNNNNNNNNNNNNNNNNNNNNNNNNNNNNNNNNNNNNNNNNNNNNNNNNNNNNNNNNNNNNNNNNNNNNNNNNNNNNNNNNNNNNNNNNNNNNNNNNNNNNNNNNNNNNNNNNNNNNNNNNNNNNNNNNNNNNNNNNNNNNNNNNNNNNNNNNNNNNNNNNNNNNNNNNNNNNNNNNNNNNNNNNNNNNNNNNNNNNNNNNNNNNNNNNNNNNNNNNNNNNNNNNNNNNNNNNNNNNNNNNNNNNNNNNNNNNNNNNNNNNNNNNNNNNNNNNNNNNNNNNNNNNNNNNNNNNNNNNNNNNNNNNNNNNNNNNNNNNNNNNNNNNNNNNNNNNNNNNNNNNNNNNNNNNNNNNNNNNNNNNNNNNNNNNNNNNNNNNNNNNNNNNNNNNNNNNNNNNNNNNNNNNNNNNNNNNNNNNNNNNNNNNNNNNNNNNNNNNNNNNNNNNNNNNNNNNNNNNNNNNNNNNNNNNNNNNNNNNNNNNNNNNNNNNNNNNNNNNNNNNNNNNNNNNNNNNNNNNNNNNNNNNNNNNNNNNNNNNNNNNNNNNNNNNNNNNNNNNNCUCUCUUACUCCUCCUCCUCCUCCUUCGCCGUCACACAAUCCCUUCUCCUCCCUCUUCCCCCUUUCGUCGCAGCUCUCCCGAUUCCCCGACACCAUCCUCCUCCUCCCUUCUCCCCCCUCCUCCCUCUUUCACCCGUUCAUCGCAGCCCCCGCCCCUCUUCCCCGAUCCCUCCCCCUCCUCCACUUCAUCACAGUCCCCGCCCCCCGUUUUCCUACUCCGAUACCAACGGUCCCGUCUCAGUUUUCCUACUCCGGACCCGACAGCCCCCUCUCCAUUAUCUUGCUCCGGACCCGACAGCCCCCGUCUCCCUCCUCUACACCCCUCUUCGCCCUCUCUAUACAUCUUCCCGUCCCCUUUCCUUCUCCCUGAUAGUUACCCGCUACCCUCCCAACAAGUAGUCAGCAGCAUGUCUUGAGCAUUUACUUUAAAGAAAUAGCAAGUCACAGUAUGCAAGUUAAAUACUGUUGUUGAGAUAGAAAGCAGGAGAAGUGCUGCUUUUAUAAAGAGCAAAGGGAAUUGGGGAGUCUUUGAGAAAAAUAAAAAAACACGGAAAAGAUAGAACAAGAGAUAGCAGAGACAAUAAUUGGGUCACUGUCCAAUGAAAAUCAUAAUUAUUUGUCAAUAGAAUCAUGCACAAGUCUGACUAUUCCCCAUGUGAAGCAUUUUAAUUAAAAAUAUACCUAAGAUAAUACUAAUCUGACUAGGUUUCCCAAAAGAAGCUCUCUCAACAGAAACUGCUUAUUUUGAUGAAGCGUUUGGUUCAUCAAACCUCUUAGUUUUCUUAUUAUGUUUACUGCAUUGCAGUUUCCUUUUCAAGCACAUCAGAAAAUUUCCACACAAAACCCCAAAUGAUACAAAGGAAUCGACUCAAUAUAAAGGACAAGUUGAGUCAACAACUAGAAUUUGACUUGAUUUCCAAACCCGAAAAUAGACCCAAAAUCUCAAUGUAUUUGGUUAGGUAUAACCUUACACCUUUACGUCAGCAUAGUGUGUUCUCUGCUGUAGUGCUGAAAGCAACUAUCUUUGCUCCUUGAGGCUAGUUCGUACCUCAAAACACACAGGCCUGCUUAUAUUUGGAUUAUCAAAUCUUGUAUUUGCUGGUUUAGUUGGUGAUUUGAAGGAGAUUUUGCAGGUGACAAUAGCAAGAGAUAUUAAUGCUCAUAAUUUAACUACAGAUAUUUUCUUAUACAGAGUUCAAUGAUGCAAAACAUCCAUAUGGAUGAUCAUGAAUUGUUUGAACAUCAUGGCUUUUGUUAUUAUUUUGGUCGUUUGCACAUGCUGGUUUUAUUGUCUAAUUCUCACUGAUAUAGGCUUUUUUUUUCUUCAUUAAUGAUAUGUAGCUGUGGCAACAUAUAAUUUAUUUUACUGUAGUUGAAGUUAUUUACAUGAUCAGUCUUUCUCAUAAAUUAAGUUCCUUUAUCAGCAAAGAACCAAAUAAACUAGUAGCAUUUCUUGAUUGAGGCAGUUUUCUUAUCUCUUUAUUCAUUUUUCAGAAUAUUUAUUGCCUUUCUCUGGUCUUCCAGAUAUGUUGUUUUUUUUUUGUCAAGUUGCUCAUCAUCAUCAACAAUGCCCUUUUUAGCAUGUUGAACCUUACAAAUUACUGUUGUUAAUUAAUUAAACAGUGUCUUUUCUACUUACGAGUCUUGCUAGACUUUUAACUAGAUCAUCUCUUUACAUUCUUGAUGAAAUGGAUCAAUUACUCUGGAAGUGCUCAUUUGAAAUGUUUCAGAUUUUAGUUGUAGGACAUUAGUGAAUUUGAUGUUAGAGAAAACAUUAUGCAUCUUCCAGUUAUUCUGAAUUCUGUAGUACCAUUUGCAAGUCAUUGAUGUUCAACCUAUAAGUAUAAACAUGAGUAUCGUCUGUAUACGAUCAACAUUGUAAAUGCCUAUGCCACUCUUAUGCAACAUAUUUGAUGAAUUUGAUAUAGUUUUUAAUUUGCUACAGGGAUAUAGGAUGCUUGGUAGUGUCUAAACCCACCAACUACAAUAUAAAAAUAAGUGGAAGAUAGUGUCUGUGCUCUGGUGUUAUAUGAUGCCAGUAUUUCAGUGGUGGAGAAUUGCUCGGAUGUGAGCAUUAGAAUGAGUAACGAAUUAUAGGUACUCGUUAUCAACUCUCAAACACCAUUUAGAGACUUAUCUCUGGAAGAAAUGGCUGAUUGGAGCUGAAUGCAUGUGGAUUAACACGAGUGGUAUAGGAAUGUUGUCUGAGACAGAUGAUUAGUAGAAAGUUUUCAACGUCCUUGAUUUGAGUUAGAAGAGGAAUUUGGACUUGGAGAGGGCAGAAUUAAGACUACUUUUCUUGUAUUUUUCUGCAAACAGUACAUGAUACUGCCUCAAAAGACAAUGUUUUUGGUGCAGAAGAGGCUCUUUUGCCUUCUCUCGUGUAACAAGUCCACCGUCCAUGUUUCCUCCUAUCAACUCUGCAGUCUGUUUAGCUUUACCACUGCCGAAGAGCACAGUUUAAAUCAUGGAUCCAACUUUACGUUGGUCGACCCCCUUGAGUCAUGUGAACUUUCCUCAAAAGAGGCUGCAAAAAGGGCCAAGGAUCGCAUCUGUGACAAAGAACUUUCAAGUUCAAGUCCUUCCAUUGAGUUCUUCAAGCAGAGCGGUUGGAGUGAUCCACUAGUCAUGAAGCUUUUGCAGAGGGAACCCAGGCUUCUACGUGCUAACGUAGAGACUAUCCUGAAGCCCAGGAUGAGAUCUUUGCAGGACAUGGGAUUUUCUGACACCGAAAUAGUUCAGCUGGUUUCAUCAUGUCCGUGUCUGCUCUAUUUACGUGAUAUCCAACCAAGGAUCAACUUCUGGAGGUCACUUCUUGGUUCUAAUGAGAGGUUAAUUAAAGCCAGCAGGGGGAACAUGUUUCUCCUUACUUCUAGCGUGGCUCAAAAGAUUGAGCCCAAUAUAUCUCUCUUGAGGGAACGUGGCAUCAGUGAGCAAUGCAUCACGCAGAUGUUGGUGGCAGUACCGAGUUUUUUUUGUCGAAUGAACAAAUAUAUCGACGAAUCUAUCAAACGUGUUGAAGAGUUGGGAGUGUCACGUGACUCUAAAAUGUUCCCUCAUGCACUUUUAACAGUCAUGACCUUGAGCAGGUCCAGGUUUGAUGCUACCUUUGCAACCUUGAUGAGCUUUGGGUGGUCCCAACCAGACAGCCUUGCUACAUUCAGGAGGUAUCCAUUCAUUUGGAAUUACUCAAAGAAGAACUUAUCUGACAAGAUGACAUUCCUGAUGAAGGAAGCUGGUUGUGAGCUGACAUAUAUCAUUGGCCAUCCCACGCUUCUUACAUUUAGCUUGGAGAAGAGGUUGAGACCUCGAUGUGAAGUUAUGAAUUUUCUUGAUCAUAAUAAAUUGCUGGAUAAAGGACAUGACCUGCUAUCUGUCAUGCUGCUAAGCGAAGAGAAGUUCAGAAACAAAUUCCUUUUCCUGCUACGCAAGGAGAAAUUUAUUGCUCAAUAUGAUUCCUAUGUUGUUGCUGUGCACGGAAAGCAUGACGUUAUUGCCGAAAACUAGGAUUGCAAGUGCUUCCUUAAGACAAAGUGUCGACCUAUUGCAUGCUGACUGCAAAUUAAUCAUUUUACAUUUGUGACAAUUUAAAAUUCUCCUUGAGUUUCUUGGAGUAUAACUUCCCUGUUGAUUUGGUGAUUGUUCUUCUAUUUAUGUUUUCUACAACAAAAGGUACUCAUUCUUUUAUGCUGAUGUCUCAGAAAUUGGUAUGGGGGAAAGUCAAUUACUUAAGAAAGAUAACCAAAAUAUCAAGCUUUUGUGUUCUGUUUCUAUCAUAUUUACCUGAUUCCGCCAGCCAUAUUGAUAACUGUGCUGUCAUUUAGAUGAUUGUGAUCUAAUUUAAUAAGGAUACCUUCCUUUUGAAUGGGGACAUCUCAAAGAAUUAUGUAAGAGCCGCUUGGACAGAAAAUACUUCAAAGGCAACCACAGAUGUGGAUAUGACUAACAUUUUUGUUGUAGUCAUAUACACACUCGCUCAUUAAAUAAUUAAGUCCAGUUUAACCGUUUAAUUGAACGCAUUAAACAAACGAUCUAUAUUAAGUUUGAUACACAUCUGUAUUGUUAUAUAAUUAGAUUAUGUGUUUUACUUUGCUUGUGCGAUCUAAUAGACCCAACAUGGCUCCCGUUUAAUUGUGUGUUUCAUUUUUUUCUUAUAAUGUUGUAUUAUCAUUUUGGUGUCUUCAACAUAAGGAAUAGUAUCAUUAUUUUUUUAGUGAUAUGUUUAGUUACUAAAAUUUUAACUUAAUAAAUAAUUCUAAGAGGAAAGACUUAGAAAAGUGAACAAAAUAUAUUGUUGGAUGGUUGUUGGGGAACUAUUGAUUAUAAAUCAGUAAUGAUGUUAUGAUGUUAAAGAGUGUAAAAUUAUUUUUAAAAAUUCUGAAAAGACAUAAAAGAUAUGUAUUUGUAAGAUUUUGGAUAAUAAAAAAAUACAAAUGGAGUUUACAUUUUUCAGCAAUAGUUUUUGAACCAAACAAGUUUCAAAAAAUUUACUGCUUAUGUCCUCAUUUAUUUUUCAAUAUAUUCCCUAUUAUGCAUUAAUAGACCUAGUUGAAUAGAUGAUAAUGCUAUAAAUCAGAUACUCCUCAUGAUUGAAAAAUUAGAAAAUAUCAAGAUUUUUGUAUUUAAGUUAUUCGGACUCAUUAAAACUCUACGACAACAUGUUUUUUUUAGUUAAUAAUUUAUUGAUAAGUCCCUUCCACAAGUCACUGACAAUCACUUCCUCAUAUGUUUAUUUCAUAAUAUAAUUAUUUAUUUUAAUUUUUUUAAAAAAUAAAUGGCUAACAUAAGAUUUCAUCACGUGAGGAUAUUGAGUUCAUUAAAAAAGGUCUUCUUCUUCGUGGCCCCUUUAGCAAGAAACUUUCAAUUAGGAAGAUCCGUGAAAACAACAAACAAUAACCUUUAGUACUUUGAAUAAGUAUCUUAUUAAAUUAUUUCUCGAGCACUCUACAUUUACAUGUUUGAUCGGACCAAUUAAGUUGCAAUAUUAUCGACUACUUCUGUCUUUUUUUUUUUUCGUUAGGCCUUGAUAAAAAUCAUAUAUAUUUCUGUAAAGUCGAUAAAGUUAUCAUCUAAGUAAGAUACUUGAAACUAGUUAUGACAUACUACUAUUGGGAUGCAUCCGUAAAUUAUAACAGACUUCUCCAAAAUAGACCCAAAAUCUCAAUGUAUUUAGUUAAGUAUAACUAGUCCUAACUAAAUCACAACUGGUUUGUUGUGAUGGGUUUGAAUCACAACUAAAUCAAUGCAUUUAGUUAGGUAUAAAUAUGACUGGUUUGAAUUGAAUCAAACCAGAAUCGAUGGUUCGUUGAUUGCAAAUCAAAUCGUAAUCUACUAGGGGUUGUUUAAUUGAGGUUUCAAGGUUUGAAAAAUUAGAAUCAACGAUACCAUAAUUGAUUAUUCCGCUUCCUAUUUAAACCAUCGAUUUGAUGGUGUUUUAUAUAGAUAAAAACCUUGAUCAAAUAGGUUGUAGAUAGAUAAUUUGGCUUAAACGAUUGGGCCCAAUAGUAUGUGCAUGGACUAUAUUUAGGGGUACUUUAGUUAUUUUAUAAUUAAAAAUAUUAAAAAUUAGAAAACAAAUUAGUCCUUCCAAUAAGCAAAUAAUAGCUAGUUAUGAAGAUAUUUUAAGAAAAAAUUAAAACCCUAUAGAUACCCCAAAAAUCUUUUAUUGUUUCUCGCAUCAUCGAUUAAGUACUUGUUGAAGUUUGAACGCUUUGAUGCUUUUUUCUUAAUCUGAUGGCAAGUGGAAGCUAUCACUUCACCACAGAGGAGGCUUUUGAAAAUCUGAUCUUGAUAAUUCAAGAAAGCCAACAUAUCAAUGUUGAUGUUAAGAUGUUGAUAGAUGACUUUUAAAAAUAUAGAAGAAAGAAGAUAUGAUGACCAAACUCAAGUUAGACAUCUUCAAGUUAUACUUUAAAAACAUCUGAAACACUGAUAGCUCCUUCCAUAUUGUAAUUAUUGAGACUAAAUUUUUAAAUACAAAGAGGGAAGAAGAUAUAGAAUAUUUUGAAAGUAUAUCAAGAAGAAACAUCCAUUACAAGUUGGUACGAUUAUACCAGUGAAGAUUCUCAAUAAAAAGUUAAUUUUUCUUCAUUAAUGAUUGGUUGCAUAAAGUUCUUUACUAUACUAUAGCAGAAGCGAUUGACGACACCGGGCGCCCGAUAAGUGGGCCGGGCGGAUGAGUUCGACCGGGUGCGGCCCAGGCGCCGCAUGAUUUGGCUGUGUCGAGCCUUAGUCAAGUCUAUUUGGAACUAAGGUUCGAUUGAACCAGAUGAGAACGGCAUCCUCAAAGUCGCACCCGUGCCCUAAAUGCCGCGGUGAAACUGUCUCCUCCUCUACAGCGACCACGACUGCGGCGUUUUCCACGGAGAACGGUGCAUGCUGCGGCUUCCUCUCCGUCGGCGAACGGUGACAGCGCCCGGUAUCUCUCUCUUACUCCUCCUCUUCCUCCUUCGCCGUUAGUUAUAUGUGCUUUCCCUGCACAUCAUCAACAGUGGCUUCUUUAGCAUGUUGAACCUCACAAAUUACUGUUGUUAAUUUCUUAAACAGUGUGUUUUCUAAUUACCAGUCUUGUUAGACCUAUAACAAAAUCAUCUCUUUACAUUCUUGUUGAAAAGGAUCAAUUAUUCUGGAAGUGCUCAUUUGAACUGUUACAGGUUUUAGUUGUAGGACAUUAGUGAAUCUGAUGUUAGACAAAACAUUAUGCAUCUUCCACCUAAUCUUAGUGCUGAAGUACCCAUUGCAAGUCAUCGACUGAUGUUCAACCUAUUAGUACAAAGUUGAAAAUCAUCUGUAUACAAUCAACAUAGUAAAUGCCAUUGUCACUCUUAUGCUGCAUAUUUGAUGAAAAUACAUUUGAUAUAAUUUUUCAAUAUCUGCAUGGAUAUAGUGUGCUUCACAGUUUCUAAAGCUACUACCUACAAUAGAUAAAUAGCGGAAGGUAGUGUCAGUGUGCAUGUGUCAUAUCAAGACAUUAUUUCAGUGGUGGUUAAUACCUUGGAUGUGAGCAUGGUAAUAAGUAAAUGAUCAAUGGUACCCGUAAUCAACAUUCAAACACCAUUUAGAGGCUUACAUCUGAAAGAAAUGGUUAAUGGGAACUGAAUGCAGGUGGAUUUACGUGAGUGGUAGGGGAAUGUUAUCCGAUACAGAUGAUUAGUUGGAAGCUUUCAACUUCCUUUUGGUUGGAAGCAGACACAGAAAAUAUAUUUAGUUCAGCAAUAAAACUACUUGUGUUUUUCUGCAAAUAGUGUGUGAUACUGCUUCAAAAUAUAAUGUUUUUGGUGCAAAAGAGGCUCUUUUGCAUUCUCCCAUUUAACAAGUCCACCAUCCAUGUUUCUUCCUAUGAACUCUUCAGUCUGCUUAGCUUUUCCACCGCCAAAGACCAAAUUUCAGAUCAUAAAUCCUACUUUACAGUGGCCAACCCCCUUCAAUCAUGUGAACUUUCCUCGGAAACGGCUGCAAAAACAGCCAAGUUCCUCACCUGUCACACAAAAUCUUCAAGUUCAAGUCUUUCCAUUGAGUUCUUUAAGCAGAGCGGUUGGAGUGAUGCACGAGUCUUGAAGCUUACCCAGAGGGAACCCAGGUUCCUAUGUGCUGACAUAGAGACUGCCAUGAAGCCCAAGUUGAGAUCUUUGUAGGACAUGGGAUUUUCUGACACUGAAAUAGUUCAGCUGGUUUCAUCAUGUCCGACUAUGCUCCUUCUACAUGACAUCAAACAGAGGAUCAACUUCUGGAGGUCACUUCUUGGUUCUAAUGAGAGGUUAAUUAAAGCCAGCCGGAGGAACAUGUUUCUCUUUACUUCUAGCUUGGCUCGAAAGAUUGAGCCCAAUGUAUCUCUCUCGAGGGAAUGUGGCAUCAGUGAGCAACGCAUUGCGCAGAUGGUGGUGAGACUACCAAAUUUUUUAUGUCAAACAGAAAAAAUGUAUCAAGGAAGUUAUCAAAUAUGUUGAGGAGUUGGGUGUGUCACGUGGCUGUAAAAUGUUCCCUCGUGUACUAUUAGCAGUCAUGACCCUGAGCAGGUCCAGGUUUGACGCUACCUUUGCAACCCUGAUUAAUUAUGGGUGGUCCCAACCAGAUUGCGUUGCUGCAUUCAGGAAGUAUCCAUCCAUUUAGUGUUUGCCAAAGAAGACCUUAUGUGACUAGAUGACAUUCCAGAUGAAGGAAGCUGGUUGUGAGUUGACAUAUAUCAUUUGCCGUCCUAUAACGAUUUUAGCUAGAAUUGCCUAAGACAUAAGGUACCUUUGCGUCAAAGACACGAACUUAGCUUGCGUUGUCUAUGUCGCGCUUCGUCCUUACGAUUUACGUUCGCAAAGAUUAGCCCACUUGCAACCUCUCGCAGGUCUCGAAACAUCUGUAAAAGAGAAAGUUGAUUAGUUUAAAGAACGAGCGACGGACAAGUCCCGACGUCUCGCGAAAAAGAGAAGCUUUACAAGUAAUUCAGCGAGCAACUUGUAUGCACAAGAGAAAAGAGGGAGAGGGGGAAAACAAGGAUUUUAGAAGGUUGAACGAACAGUUGUAAGUCCGCAAACAGUUGCUCACCCGACACUAUACCGAGGUCUCAUUCAGCCUUGUGCCACCCAGGUGGUUCUAGGGUGCUGAGAUGGCUAACGUUUCACGUGCAGCAGCGGGCUGCAGAAAUCAGCCUGUGGCAUGGGAAAACAGAGCCUUUUUGGGGUCGUUUUGCUUGGUUCGGCGAGUGGUCACACCGUAGCGUUAUAACUUAUUCGAACUUACAUUUUUACAAACAAAAAGACUUAAAACUAAGCCAAAACAUGUUGCCAAGCAAUUAUACAUGUAGACGAGAACGACGAAUGAUUCGGUGAACGGAGUUGUUCAAGGUGCGCAACGACCAUUCAUAACAUUCUCCCCCACUCAAAUUGUCGAUGCCCUCGUCGACGCUUGUUGAUAGUUGUUGAUGAUUGCUUCUUCAUGUCAUAGGGUGUCUUCAGGCUCCCAACUAGCUUCAGAUCGGGGAAGCUUUCGCCACUUCACCAAGUACACGGUCUGCUCAGCUCUAGUGGGUAGCUUUAUCUUGCGAUCUGCUAGAAUGGUUUCAACUCGCUUUUCGUAGGAGGCUGUGGUGGGGGGUAGCCAAGUUGGAACACUUCGGGAAGCAUCUUGCGGAUCCGAGUGGUAGGCUUUCAAGUUGCUGGCGUGAAGAAUAUUGUGAAUGUUGAACCACGUCGGCAGCUGCAACUUGUAGGAGACAUUAUCCACCCUACUGAUAAUUGGGAAGGGCCCUUCAUACUUGCGCACCAAUCCUUUAUGUAUUUUGUUUCUAAAGAAUUAGAGUGAUGCUGGUUGGAGCUUGACCAACACCAAAUCGUCGAUCUUGAACUCUUACGGUCGCCUACCAAAGUUUGCCCACUUCAUUCUUUUUGCUGUCUUCUCCAAGUAAGUCCACACAAUAUCUACAUUUCGGUGUCACUCCCUUGCAAAGUGGUAGGCUGAUGGAUUACUCCCAGUAUAUCCAAUUACUUUAGUGUGAGGAGUUGACGGUUGUUACCCUGUAAUAAUCUCGAAAGGGCUCUUGUUGGAUGCAGAGCUUCGCUUCAAGUUAUAGGAGAAUUGGGCAAUGUCCAAUAACUUCAUCCAAUCUUGUUGGUUGGCACUCACGUAGUGCCGAAGAAUAUUGCUGUAGGAGAUGAAAGCCACUGUCUCGACAAUCUUAGACUUGUUCUUCGAAUCAAAAUACAAUGCGUUGCCAAUAUUUAGAUGAUCAAAUCUUAUAUUUGCUGGUUUAGUUUGAAGGAGAAUAUAAUACUGGUAACAAUAGAAAGAGAUUUUAAUGCUUUGACUAAAUAUGUUUUCUUACGCAAGCAUAAAUAGUUCGGAUAUUAUGGCUUUUUAUAUUAUUGUUAUUGGUUGCACUUGUUGGAUUUAUUGGCAAAUUCUCACUGAUUUAGAUUAAUAGCUGAAGCAAUUGAAGUCACCGAGCGCCCGAUAAGUGGGCCGGGGGUGCGAGUUCAACCGGGUGCGGCCCAGGCGCCCGUCUGAUUAAGGCUGGGUCUAGCCCAAGUCAAGUCAAUUUGGAUCUCUGGUUCGAUUGAACCAGAUGAGAACGGCAUCCACAAAUUCGCACCCGUGCCCUAAAUGCAGCGGUGAAACUGUCUCCUUCUCCACAGCGACCGCGACUGCGGCGUUUUCCUUGGCGAAAGGCGGCAGCUGCGGUGGCAUCUUCCUACGUCGAGCUCUUAUCGCUGCGGCGUUUUCCUCGGCAAACGGUGGAUGCUGCGGUUUCCUCUCCGUCGGCGAACGGUGAUAGCGCCCGGUAUCUCUCUCUUACACAUCCUCCUCCUCCUCUUCCUCCUUCUCCGUCGCAAAAUCCCUUCCCCUCUCUCUUUCCCCGUUCAUCGCAGCCCACCGCCGCCCCGGCCUCAUCGCUGCCCCCUUUCCCCAAUCCCUCCUUCCUCUUCCCCUUUCGCCACAGCUCUCCCUCUUCCCCGACACCGUCCCACGACUCCAUAUGUAGCUGACGCUACAUAUAAUUUUUUUAGUGUAGUUUAAGUUAUUUACAUGAGGAAUCUUUCUCAUAAAUUAAGUUCCUUUAUCAGCAUAGAACCAAAUAAACUAGUAGCAUUUCUUGAUUGAGGCAGUUUUCUUAUCCCUUUAUUCAUUUUUCAGAAAAUUUAUUGCCUUUCUCUGGCCUUCCAGCUAUGUUGUUUUUUUUUGGUCAAGUUGCUCAUCAUCAUCAACAAUGCCCUUUUUAGCAUGUUGAACCUCACAAAUUACCCUUGUUAAUUAAUUAAACAGUGUCUUUUCUGCUUACCAGUCUUGCUAGACUUUUAACUAGAUCAUCUCUUUACAUUCUUAAUGAAAUGGAUCAAUUACUCCCCAAUGUUUCAGAUUUUAGUUGUAGGACAUUAGUGAAAUCGAUGUUAGAAAAAACAUUAUGCAUCUUCCAGUUAUUCUGAAUUCUGUAGUACCAUUUGCAAGUCAUUGAUGUUCAACCUAUAAGUAUAAACAUGAGUAUCGUCUGUAUACGAUCGACAUUGUAAAUGCCUAUGCCACUCUUAUGCAGCAUAUUUGAUGAAGACACAUUUGAUAUGGUUUUUAAAUUGCUACAGGGAUAUCUGAUGCUUGGUAGUGUCUAAACCCACCAACUACAAUAUAAAAAUAAGUGGAAGAUAGUGUCUGUGCGCUGGUGUUAUAUGAUGCCAUUAUUUCAGUGGUGGAGAAUUGCCCGGUUGUGAGCAUUAGAAUGAGUAACUAAUUAUAGGUACUUGUUAUCAACUCUCAAACACCAUUUAGAGACUUAUCUCUGGCAGAAAUGGCUGAUUGGAACUGAAUGCAUGUGGAUUAACACGAGUGGUAUAGGAAUGUUGUCUGAGACAGAUGAUUAGUAGAAAGUUUUCAACAUCCUUGAUUUGAGGUAGAAGAGGAAUUUGGACUUGGAGAGGGCAGAUUAAGACUACUUUUCUUGUAUUUUUCUGCAAACAGUACGUGAUACUGCCUCGAAAGACAAUGUUUUUGGUGCAGAAAAGGCUCUUUUGCCUUCUCUCAUGUAACAAGUCCACCAUCCAUGUUUCCUCCUAUCAACUCUGCAGUCUGUUUAGAUUUUCCACUGCCGAAGAGCACAGUUCAAAUCAUGGAUCAAACUUUACGUUGGUCGACCCCCUUGAGUCAUGUGAACUUUCCUCAAAAGAGGCUGCAAAAAGGGCCAAGGAUCGCAUCUGUGAAAAAGAACUUACAAGUUCAAGUCCUUCCAUUGAGUUCUUCAAGCAGAGCGGUUGGAGUGAUGCACUAGUCAUGAAGCUUUUGCAGAGGGAACCCAGGUUGUUGCUCGCUAAUGUAGAGACUGCCCUGAAGCCCAGGAUGAGAUCCUUGCAGGACAUGGGAUUUUCUGACACUGAAAUAAUUCAGCUGGUUUCAUCAUGUCCUACUCUGCUCCGUUUAAGUGAUAUCCAACCAAGGAUCAACUUCUGGAGGUCACUUCUUGGUUCUAAUGAGAGGUUAAUUAAAGCCAGCAGGAGGAACAUAUUUCUCCUUACUUCUAGCUUGGCUCAAAAGAUUGAGCCCAAUAUAUCUCUCUUGAGGGAAUGUGGCAUCAGUGAGCAAUGCAUCACGCAGAUGCUGGUGGUAGUACCGAGUUUUUUUUGUCGAAAGAACAAUUGUGUCAAUGAAUCUAUCAAACGUGUUGAGGAGUUUGGUGUGUCACGUGACAGUAAAAUGUUCCCUCAGGUACUUUUAACAGUCAUGACCCUCAGCUGGUCCAGGUUUCAUGCUACUUUUGAAACCCUGAUGAGCUUUGGGUGGUCCCAACCAGACAGCAUUGCUGCAUUCAGUAGGUAUCCAGUCAUUUGGAAUUACUCAAAGAAGAACUUAUCUGACAAGAUGACAUUCCUGAUGAAGGAAGCUGGUUGUGAGCUGACAUAUAUCGUUGGUCAUCCCAUGCUUCUUACAUAUAGCUUGGAGAAGAGGUUGAGACCUCGAUAUGAAGUUAUGAAUUUUCUUGAUCAGAAUAAAUUGCUGGAUAAAGGACAUGACCUGCUAUCUGUCAUCCUGCUAUCUGAAGAGAAGUUCAGAAACAAAUUCCUUUUCCUGCUACGCAAGGAGAAAUUUAUUGCUCAAUAUGAUUCCUAUGUUGUUGCUGUGCGGGGAAAGCACUACGUUGUUGUGGAAAACUAGGAUUGCAAGUGCUUCCUUAAGACAAAGUGUCGACCUAUUGCAUGCUGACUGCAAAUUAAUCAUUUUACAUUUGUGACAAUUUAAAAUUCUCCUUGAGUUUCUUGGAGUAUAACUUCCCUGUUGAUUUGGUGAUUGUUCUUCUAUUUAUGUUUUCUACAACAAAUGGUACUCAUUCUUUUAUGCUGAUGUCUCAGAAAUUGGUGUGGGGGAAAGUCAAUUACUUAAGAAAGGUAACCAAAAUAUCAAGCUUUUGUUUUCUGUUUCUAUCAUAUUUACCUGAUUCUGGCAGCCAUAUUGAUUACUGUGCUGUCAUUUAGAUGAUUGUGAUCUAAUUUAAUAAGGAUACCUUCCUUUUGAAUGGGGACAUCUCAAAGAAUUAUGUAAGAGCCGCUUGGACGGAAAAUACUUCAAAGGCAACCACAGAUGUGGAUAUGACUAACAUUUUUGUUGUAGUCAUAUACACACUCGCUCAUUAAAUAAUUAAGUCCAGUUUAACCGUUUAAUUGAACGCAUUAAACAACCUAUCUAUAUUAAGUUUGAUACACAUCUGUAUUGUUAUAUAAUUAGAUUGUGUGUUUUACUUUGCUUGUGCGAUCUAAUAGACCCAACAUUGCUCCCGUUUAAUUGUGUGUUUCAUUUUUUUCUUAUAAUGUUGUAUUAUCAUUUUGGUGUCUUCAACAUAAGGAAUAGUAUCAUUAUUUUUUUAGUGAUAUGUUUAGUUACUAAAACUUUAACUUAAUAAAAAUUUCUAAGAGGAAAGACUCAGAAAAGUGAACAAAAUAUAUUGUUGGAUGGUUGUGGGGGAACUAUUGAUUAUAAAUCAGUAAUGAUGUUAUGAUGUUGAAGAGUGUAAACUUCUUUUUAAAAAUUAUGAAAAGACAUAAAAGAUAUGCAUUUGUAAGAUUUUGGAUAAUAAAAAAAUACAAAUGAAGUUUACAUUUUUCAGCAAUAGUUUUUGAACCAAACAAUAACCUUUAGUACUUUGAAUAAUUAUCUUAUUGAAUUGUUUCUCAAACACUAUGUACUUCUAUGUUUUUUAUCAUGGGAAUGACCUAUUAAGUUGUAACAUCAUUAACUAUUUUUGUUUUUUUUCUUUUUCAUUAGGUCUCAAUAAAAUUCAUCUAUAUUUUUAUAAGGUCGAUAAAAUCAUCAUCUAAGUAAGAUACUUGAAACGGAUUAUAUAAACUACUCCUGUUGGGAUGCAUAUGUAAGUUAUGACAUACUACUCCAAAAUAGACCCAAAAUCUCAAUGCAUUUAGUUAACUAUAACUAGUCCUAACUAAAUCACAACUGAUUUGUUCUGACGGGUUUGAAUCACAACUGAAUCAAUGCAUUUAGUUAGGUAUAAAUAUGACUGGUUUGAAUUGAAUCAAACAGGUUCGUUGAUUGCAAAUCAAAUCGUAAUCUACCAGGGGUAAUUUAAUUGAGGUUCCUAGGUUUGAAAAAUUAAAAUCAAUGAUCCCAUAAUUGAUUAUUCCGCUUCCUAUUUAAACCAUCGAUUUGAUGGUGUUUUAUAUAGAUAAAAAACCCCAAUCAAAUAGGUUAUAGAUGGAUAAUUGGGCUUAAACAAUUGGGCCCAAUAGUAUGUGCUUGGACCAACAAUCGAAUGAAUGUCAAAUUGGCUAUAUUUAUGGGUACUUUAGUUAUUUUAUAAUUAAAAAUAUUAAAAUUAGAAAAUAAAUUAGUCAUUCCAAUAAGCAAAUAAUAGCUAGUUAUGAAGAUAUUUUAAGAAAAUAAAAAUAAAAACCCUAUAGAUACCCCCAAAAAAUCUUUUAUUGUUUCUCAGAUUAAGUAUUUGUUGAAGUUUGAAUGAUUUGAUGCUCUUUUCUUAAUCCGAUAGCAAGUGGAAGCUAUCACUUCACCAUUGAGGAGGCUUUUGGAUCAUGUGAAACAUUAGCUAUAUUUAUUUUUGUUAAAUAUUUAUUUAUAUCUACAAUGGAAUGUCUGUGAAAUAGUUUUAAAAAUUUUAAAAGUUUUUAGAAUGGUAACAUAUAGUUUGACUAGUGUUUAUAUGUUACUGUAAAUUUUUUUUCUUAGUUGUUUGCAUUGAUAUAGUUGGUGCAUUAUAAGAAUAUCAAUACGAUAAUAAUUUAAAUUUGAUAAUAAUGGCUACAAAAUAAAAAAUAUAAAUUAUUAUUAUUAAAUUUAUUGAUUUAUUUAAUUAUAUGGGUUUUUAAUUUUGUAUAGAUUAAAUGACUUUUGUAAUUAUUUAACCGCUUAUUAUGAAAGUUUAGGAGUCGAUGAUAUUAGUGAUAAGAUUAAAGAUAUUAAAAAAUUAAUUAUUAACUUACAUAAUGUUAACUAUAGUAGACAACAUGAUACCUUUGAAACUUCUUGGAUCUAAGUUAGCAAAGGUAAUAAAAUUUGUAAGGGAGAAAAACUAUUAUUACAAAGACAAAAGCAUCGAAAGGAUCUUAAAGCUAAAACUUCAAGUUUAUUUUGUAUCUAAUAAUGUUUUUAAAGUUUGAUGAUAGCUCUAAGUAUAGAGUUUUCUAUUCUUGAAUAAUGGACAUGAUACAUAAAAACAUUUUUAGUUUUAAGGAUUAAUACUAGUACUUUAGUGUCCAUAGUAUCUGUGGAGUCAACCUUCAAUAUAAGAGGACGAGUUCUAUGUGAAACUAGAUUAAAUAUGACUCUCGAACCAAUUGAUGUUUAAGUAUGUAUUAAUAGAUAAAAGCGAUAAAAUAGAACCAAUACAAAGAUGUCCAAUAUUAAAAUUGAUUAAAUAUUUAUAAAUUUACAUAAAUUUGUAUUAACUUUUUUUAUUAUAUCCUAACACAUUAUACAUCCAUGUUUAAAUUAAAAAAAUUAUAAUUUUUAAAUAAAAAUAAUAAAAAAAAUAUCAGUUCAAACUAAAAUCAAAAUCGAUCAAACUGGAACUGAACCUUACCGGUUCGAUUUUUUAUUAUAAAUUUUGCCAAACUAGAAAUGAUAAUUCCGGAAUUGAAAUCAAUUUACUUAGACUAGAUAUAACCUUACUGAAAGCCACCCUCUCCAUAAUCUGAGACUUGUUCUUUAACUCAAAACACAAUGCCCUAUCAAUAUUAAGAUUAUCAAAUCUUAUAUUUGCUGGUUUAGUUAGUGAGUUGAAGGAGAAUAUAAUAAUAUGGUAACAAUAAAAAGAGAUUUGAAUGCUUUAAAUUUGACUACAUAUGUUUUCUUACACAGAGCAUAAAUAGUUUGGAUAUUAUGGCUUUUGUUAUUAUUGUUAUUGUUUGCACUUGUUGGAUUUGUUAGCAAAUUCUCACUGAUUUAGAUUAUGUCAGUGAAGAUUCUCACUGAUUUAGAUUAUGGUUUUAUUGAGAAAGUUCUUUACUACAGCUGAAGCCAUUGAUGUCACCGGCCGCCCGAUAAGUGGGCCGAGCGAGCGAGUUCAACCGGGUGCAGCCCAGGCGCCCACGUGAUUCAGAUUGCCUCAAGCCCGAGUCAAGUCAAUUUGGACAAAUGGUUCGAUUGAACCAGAUGAGAACGGCUUCCUCAAAAUUCCCACCCGUGCCCUAACUGCAGAGGUGAAACUGUCUCCUCCUAUACAGCGACCGCGAAUGCGGCGUUUUACUUGGCGAAAGGCGGCUGAAGCGGCGGCAUCUUCCUCCGUCGAGCUCUUAUCGCUGCGGCGUUUUCCUCGGAGAACGGUGGAUGCUGCGGCUUCCUCUCCGUCGGCGAAUGGUGACAGCGCCCGGUAUCUCUCUCUUACUCCUCCUCCUCUUCCUCCGUCGCCGUUAAUUAUAUGUGCUUUCCUCCGUCGCACAAUUCCUUCCCCUCUCUCUUCCCCCGUUCAUCGCAGCCCACGGCCGCCCCCGCCUCGUCGCUGCCCCCUUUCCCCAAUCCCUCCUUCCUCUUCCCCUUUCGCGACAGCUCUCCCGCUUCCCGCUUCCCGCUUCCCCGACACCGCCCCCAGACUCCAUAUGUAGCUGAUGCUACAUAUAAUUUUUUUUACUGUAGUUGAAGUUAUUUACAUGAGCAAUCUUUCUCAUAAAUUAAGUUCUUUUAUCAGCAUAGAACCAAAUAAACUAGUAGCAUUUCUUGAUUGAGGCAGUUUUCUUAGCUCUGUAUUCAUUUUUAAGAAAAUUUAUUGCCUUUCUCUGGUCUUCCAGCUAUGUUGUUUUUUUUUUUUGUCAAGUUGCUUAGCAUCAUCAACAAUGCCUUUUUUAGCAUGUUGAACCUCACAAUUUACUGUUGUUAAUUAAUUCAACAGUGUCUUUUCUACUGACCGGUCUUGCAAGACUUAUAACUAGAUCAUCUCUCUAAAUUCUUGAUGAAAAGGAUCAAUUAUUCUGGAAGUGCUUAUUUGAAAUGUUCCAGGUUUUAGUUAUAGGACAUUAGUGAAUCUGAUGUUAGAGAAAACAUUAUGCACCUUCCUGUUACUCUGAAUUCUGUACUACCAUUUGCGAGUCAUUGAUGUUCAACCUACAAGUAUAAACUUGAGUAUCGUCUGUGUACGAUCGACAUUGUAAAUGCCUAUGCCACUCUUAUGCAGCAUAUUUGAUGAAGAUACAUUUGAUAUGGUUUUUCAAUUGCUACAGGGAUAUAGGAUGCUUGAUAGUGUCUAAACCCACCAACUACAAUAUAAAAAUAAGUGGAAGAUAGUGUCUGUGCUCUGGUGUUAUAUGAUGCCAGUAUUUCAGUGGUGGAGAAUUGCUCGGAUGUGAGCAUUAGAAUGAGUAACGAAUUAUAGGUACUCGUUAUCAACUCUCAAACACCAUUUAGAGACUUAUCUCUGGAAGAAAUGGCUGAUUGGAGCUGAAUGCAUGUGGAUUAACACGAGUGGUAUAGGAAUGUUGUCUGAGACAGAUGAUUAGUAGAAAUUUUUCAACAUCCUUGAUUUGAGGUAGAAGAGGAAUUUGGACUUGGAGAGGGCAGAUUAAGACUACUUUUCUUGUAUUUUUCUGCAAACAGUACGUGAUACUGCCUCAAAAGACAAUGUUUUUGGUGCAGAAGAGGCUCUUUUGCCUUCUCUCGUGUAACAAGUCCACUGUCCAUGUUUCCUCCUAUCAACUCUGCAGUCUGUUUAGCUUUUCCACUGCCGAAGAGCACAGUUCAAAUCAUGGAUCCAACUUUACGUUGGUCGACCCCCUUGAGUCAUGUGAACUUUCCUCAAAAGAGGCUGCAAAAAGGGCCAAGGAUCGCAUCUGUGAAAAAGAACUUUCAAGUUCAAGUCCUUCCAUUGAGUUCUUCAAGCAGAGCGGUUGGAGUGAUCCACUAGUCAUGAAGCUUUUGCAGAGGGAACCCAGGCUUCUACGUGCUAACGUAGAGACUAUCCUGAAGCCUAGGAUGAGAUCUUUGCAGGACAUGGGAUUUUCUGACACUGAAAUAGUUCAGCUGGUUUCAUCAUGUCCGUGUCUGCUCUAUAUACGUGAUAUCCAACCAAGGAUCGACUUCUGGAGGUCACUUCUUGGUUCUAAUGAGAUGUUAAUUAAAGCCUGCAGGAGGAACAUGUUUCUCCUUGCUUCUAGCUUGGCUCGAAAGAUUGAGCCCAAUGUAUCUCUCUCGAGGGAAUGUGGCAUCAGUGAGCAACACAUCGCGCAGAUGGUAGUGAGACUACCAAGUUUUUUAUGUCAUACAGAAAAAUGUAUCAAGGAAGCGAUCAAACAUGUUGAGGAGUUGGGUGUGUCACGUGACUGUAAAAAGUUCCCUCGUGCACUUUUAACAGUCGUGACGCUGAGCAGGUCCAGGCUUGAUGCUACCUUUGCAACCCUGAUCAGCUAUGGGUGGUCCCAACCAGAUUGCGUUGCUGCAUUCAGGAAGCAUCCAUCCAUUUGGUCUUUGUCAAAGAAGACCUUAUGUGACAAGAUGACAUUCCUGAUGAAGGAAGCUGGUUGUGAGCUGACAUAUAUCAUUUGCCGUCCGGUGCUUCUUACAUAUAGCUUGGAGAAGAGGUUGAGACCUCGAUAUGAAGUUCUGAAUUUUCUUGAUCAGAAUAAAUUGCUGGAUAAAGGACAUGACCUGCUAUCUGUCAUCCUGCUAACUGAAGAGAAGUUCAGAAACAAAUUCCUUUUCCUGCUACGCGAGGAGAAAUUUAUUUCUGUGCAGGGAAAGCACGAUGUUGUUGCGGUAACCUAGGAUUGCAAGUGCUUCCUUAAGACAAAGUGUAAACCUAUUGCAUGCUGACUGCAACUUAAUCAUUUUACAUUUGUGACAAUUUAAAUUCUCCAAGAGUUUAUUAGAGUAGAACUUCCAUGUUGAUUUUGGGAUUUUUCUUCUAUUUAUUUUUUUCUACAACAAAAGAAGACUGAUUCAUUUAUGAUGAUGUCUCAGAAAUUGGAGUUUGGGGGAAAGUCUAUUACUUGGGAAAGGUAACCAAAAUAUCAAGCUUUUGUGUUCUGUUUCUACCAUAUUUAGCUGAUUCUGCAGCUGGUCGAUCAGCGCCAACUUGGCCAUGUUAAUUGUUGUGAACUCAUAUUCGUAACUUUGCUGUCAUUUAGAUGAUUGUGAUCUAAUUAAUAAUGACACCUUCCUUUUGAAGGUUAUGGAAUUAUGUAAGAGCCACUUGGACGGAACAUUAAAAAUUUACGACCUACACUUUAAUUUAACGCAUUAAACUACAUAUCUAUAUUAAAUUUUGGUACACAUCUGUGUUGUUACAUAAUUAGGUUAAGUAUUUGACUUUGUGGCUCACGUGUUUGGUUUCAUUUAAUUAUUGAGACCCAUGCAUAUUGUCACAUUUGGUCAUUUAAUUAUAACAUUCUGUUCAAGCACACUAGAAAAUUUCAACAAUCAUCAAAAUACUAAAUGAUCGAAAGGUGCCAAAUAAAACUAUAACGUGACUUAUUAUCAAACUCAAAAAUAAACCUAAAAUCUCAAUGUAUUUGAUUAAGUAUAACCUAACACCUUUUAUCUCCGCGUAUUCCUCUCUUGUAGGACUGUAAGCCAUUAUCUCGGCAACUUGAGGCUCGUUCGUACCUUAAAACACGUUGCACUGCUUAUAUUUAAAUUAUCAAAUCUUCUAUUUGAUGGUUUGGUUGGUUAUUUAAAGGAGAAUUUACUAGUAACAAUACUAAGAGAUUUUAAAAGUGCUAGGUAGGUCAAGCACUCAUCUGAUUCAACUGAGUCAGGAGCCCAUUUCAUUGGUAAACCAUAAAUUCAAACCUAAGAAAAUGAUUAUAUAUCUAGUGUAACAAAACAUAUGAAUAUGUCAAACCAUAAAUGAAUUUGCAUUGUAAUUACCUCAUAUAGUCCAUUGUGAAUGAAUCUGCAUUAGAAAAUAAAAAUGAAUUGGCAACAAUAAACAUGUGGUCUACAAAAUGGUUCAGUUCUAUUUUGAUGAAGUGUUUGGUUCAUCAAAUCUGUUAGUUUCUUUAUCUUAUCUACCUUACUUCUUUUUCAAACACACCAAUAAAUUUCAAUAAUCAACAAAACCCCAAAUGAUCGAAAUAUUCUAAACAACUAUAACAUAACUUAUUUCCAAACUCCAAAAUAGACCCAAUAUCUAAAUGCAUUUAGUUAAGUAUAACUAGUCCUUAUCUAGAUCCAAUUUGAAUCAUAACUAUAUCAAAUUGAUAAUUAAUUAUAGUUCUUGGAUUUGAAAAAUUAAAAAUAUAGGUCCAAUGAUUCCGAUUCUAAUUUGAAUCAUCAAUUUGAUCAUUUUUAUAUAAAAAAAAUUGUUGGGCUCUAAUGAUAAGGCCCAACAGUCAUUGCUUGGCCCAACAAUCGGAGAAGAAAACGAUUCGUUUAUCCCAGUGAUAUAAAUGACUAUAUUUAUGGAUAUUUUAGUUAUUUUAUAAUUUAAAUUUUAAAAAAAUUAUCCUUUCAACAACCAAGUAAUCGAUAGUUUUGGAGAUAUUUUAAAGAAAAAAAUAAAAAACCUUAUAAAUACUCUUGAAAUCUCUAAUUCUGUCUCACAUCAUUGAUUAAGCGCUCAUUAAAGUUUGAAUGCUCUAAUGCUUUUUUCUUAACAUGAUGGUAAGUGGAAGCUACAACUUGGAUAUCAAGCUGAAGGAAACAGAUAUGAUGACUAAACUCAAGUUAGACAUAUUCGACUAUACUUAAAAAAUGUCUAAAACAUCGAUGACUCCUUCCAUAUCACAUGGAAUUAUUAGAGUUAAAAAUUUUAAAUUUAAAGAAGAAAAAAGAUAAGAACAUUAUGGAAAAAACAUCCAAUAGCUAUACUAAUUCAUUUUUUAGUACCAUACUAAUUCAUUUUUUUUAUUUUUUAUAUUAAAAAUAUGAAACAUUAGCUAUAUUAAGUUUUGUUAAAUAUUUAUCUUUUAAUUUCGAUGAAAAAAUUAGAUUUAUUGAUUAUUGUCAAGGCUUUAAAUCCUACCACACUUGCUCACACAUUAUAUAAUUUUUAUAAAAAAAAAUAUUAUGUUUCCAUUUAUUUUGAUAUUUAGAGUGAUCACUAACAAAUAUACACAUAUAUAGGAAUCACUUAUCAUUGGAUUGAUAGCAAUUGGACCAUAUAUAAAAAAUUAUUGCUUUUAGAGUUUUUGUUGAAUGGCAUAUAAUCAAUAAUAUUUAUGAAAUGAUAAAUUUUAUAAUAUAUAAUUUGAUUCUUAAAUUUUUCCAUUGAUUUUAAUAAUACAAUGAUAAAUACCGCUUUUAUUUUGAAAUUACAAGAAGCUAGUCAGCUUGUUUUCCAUGGUUUUUUUUUUCAUGUUAGAUGUGCUUGUCAUAUUUUGAAUUUGUGUGCACAACAAGGACUUGGAUCUUUUUGAACUUUUAUAUCUCCUAUUAAGCAACCUAUUUCAUUCUUGUGAAGUCAUCCAUAAGUAAUGAAAAAAUAAGUUAAAUUUUACAAAUUAAAUGAUAAAAAGAUCAAAAUAUUUUUUAGAGAUGUUUCUACCUAAUGGAAUUCAAUAUAUAAAUUAUUUUAAAAAUCUUUUGAAUAUAAAAAAUAUUAUAUAUUUUUUAUUUCAAAUAAUAUUAUGAAAGUUUACUUAUAUUCACAACAUUGGAAUGUAUGUGAAAGAAUUUUUAAAUUUUUUAAUAAUUUAAUAUAUAUUUUACUAGUGUUUAUUAUCUUACUAUGCAUAUUUUUGUUGUUGUUUGUAUUAAUAUGCUUAGUUAAUUAUAAGAAUAUAAAUAUGAUAAUAAUUUUAAUAUGAUAAUAAUGAUUAUAAAAUAAAAAAAGAGAAAAUAUUUUUUAAUUCUAUCGAUUUUUUUAAUUACAUAUGUUUUUAACCCUCGUAGAAGAUUAAGUGACUAUAGUAAUUAUUCAAUUAUUUAACCACUUAUUAUGAAAGUUUAGGAGUCAAUGAUAUUGGUCAUAAAAUUAAAGAUUGUUAAAUCUCGAAUUUUAUGGUAAAAUCGAUUGAUGAAGUUGUGAUUUAAUAUGUGUUUGAAUAACGUAAGAUUAAUCUCGAUCAAGGAAAAGUAAUUCGAAUAAAGAAGAAAUAAUCAUACGUUGGGCUGAAGUAGAACAUGUCAAAAGAUUGGACGUCAGGCUGGAGGACUGGUUGAUAUGUCGGAAGGAUUUCAUGCCAUGAGUUCGAGCAUCGGGUCUAUCAUGUCGAUUGGGUAAUAUAUUGAAAGAGAUGAUGAUGCAUCAAAAGACCAGAUGAAGCAUCGAAUGAAUCAAUAAUAUGCUAGAUAAGAUAUGAUUCAUUCUUAUAAUUGUGUGUUUAGAUCAAGUUAAUUUAGAUCUAAUUGACUCAAUUUUGGGAUAAAACAAUGCAACUCAAUUAGGGGCUCAUUGGGCCUAAGUUGGGGUUGUUUUGGGCCAAGUGGAAGGCCCAUUCAGUGACCUUGAACUGGCCCAAGCGGUGGCACCGCUUGAGGCUUAGCUUCCUAAGGUGUCUGGGUGGUGAUAUCACCCAAACAAAAUCUUCGAGACUAUGUGAAGCGGUGGUACUGACUAGUGUUAAUGUGAGACUAGGCGAUAGUACCAUAUAGUGUCAGACUGACAGACGAUAGUACCACCCAGUGUCAGACUGAUAGGUGGUGGUACCGCUAAUUGUCAGUCCGGUAGGUGGUGGUACCGUCCAGUAUUGACGAUGGUACCGCUAGUACCUUGAAAACCCGGGAUGAGACUGUUUUGAUUCUAAAUUUGAAUCCAUUUGAGGUCUGUAAAUAUCCUACUCAUCCCUGCUCGGUUAACACAAGAAUUGAGAAUAAAUUUGUAAGAAAACGCUAUUGUAAUUUAGUGAGAAUUUUUCUCAUUUUCUCAAUUUUUGUUUAAGGGAGGGGUGAGUGACUUAUAAAGGUUAUCUUUUAAACCUGAGAAAAGUAUUGUAAUAGGGUAUUUAAUCUUCGCCUAUUGAAAGAAGAUUGAUAGUGAAAGUUGGUGGCCUCGAUGGAGGAAGAAUCAGGAUUGAUGUAGGUCACGAUGACCGAAUCACUAUAAACGCGAUGUGCACUUUAAAUUAUUGUUGUCUAUUGAUUCAACCGUUACUGUUUUUGCUUGUACUCUACAUUUAAACAUCUUUUCGAUAUGAGAUUUAUCGAAUAAAAAUUUUGAAUCGAUGUAAUUUUUAUAAAAGUACUUAUUCACCCCCCUUUCUUAGUGCCAAUUUCGAUCAUAAUAGAAAUAUUAAAAAAUUAAUUAUUAACUUAUAUUACUAUUAUAGUGCUAACUAUAAUAGACAACCUUCCAAACUUCUCUAUCAAUAGAUCAAGUUAUUAGAGAAAAUAAAAAUUGUAAGAGAGAAAACCUAUUAUUACAAAGAUAAAAAAAUCAAAGGGAUCAUCAAGGUCAAUCUAACAAAUUUUUUUUAGUGUUGCGACAAUACUAGUAGAAAGUUCUUAACUACGGCCGAAACCAUUGAUGUCACCGGCCGCCCGAUAAGUGGGCCGGGCGAGCGAGUUCAACCGGGUGCAGCCCAGGCACCCGAAUGAUUCAGGUUUCGUCGAGCCCGAGUCAAGUAAAUUUGGUUCUCUGGUUCGAUUCAACCAGAUGAGAACGACAUCCUCAAAUUCGGACCCGUGCCCUAAAUGCAGCGGUGAAACUGUCUCCGUCUCUACAGCGACCGCGACUGCGGCGUUUUCCUUGGCGAAAGGCGGCAGCAGCGGCGGCAUCUUCCUCCGUCGAGCUCUUAUCGCUGCGGCGUUUUCCUCCGAGAACGGUGGAUGCUGCGGCUUCCUCUCCGCCAGCGAACGGUACAGCGUCCGGUAUCUCUCUCUUACUCCUCCUCCUCUUCCUCCUCCAUCGCCGUUGCAGAAUCCCUUCUCCUCCCUCCUCCUGCCUCUUCCCCCAUUCGUCGCAGCUCUCCCGCUUCCCCGACACCAUCCUCCUCCUCCCUUCUCCUUCCUCCUCCCUCUUUCACCCGUUCAUCGCAUCCCCCCGCCCCUCUUCCCCUCCCCCUCGCCCUCCUCCACUUCAUCACAGGCCCCGCCCCCCGUUUUCCUUCUCCGAUCCCAACAGUCCCCUCUCCGUUUUCCUACUCCGCACCCGACAGCCCCCUCUCCAUUAUCUUGCUCCGGCCUCGACAGCCACCAUCUCCCUCCUCUACACCCCUCUUCGCUCUCUCUACACAUCUUCCCCUCCCCUUUCCUUCUCCCUGAUAGUUACUCGCUACCCUCCCAACAAGCAGUCAGCAGCUUAUCAUGAGCAUUUACUUAAAAGAAAUAGAAAGUCACAGUAUGCAUGUUAAAUACUGUUGUUAAGAUAGACAGCAGGAGAAGUGCUGCUUUUAUAAAGAGCAAAGGGAAUUGGGGAGUCUUAGAGAAAAAGAAAAAAACAUGGAAAAGAUAGAACAAGAGAUAGCAGAGACAAUAAUUGGGUCACUGUCCAAAGAAAAUCAUAAUUAUUUCAGUAGAAUCAUGCACAAGUCUGACUAUUCCUCAUGUGAAGCAUUUUAAUUAAAAAUAUACCUAACAUAAUACUAAUCUGACUAGGUUUCCCAAUAGAAGCUCUCUCAACAGCAACUGCUUAUUUUGAUGAAGCGUUUGGUUCAUCAGACCUCUUAGUUUUCUUAUUAUCUUUACUGCAUUGCAGUUUCUUUUUCAAGCACAUCAGAAAAUUUCAACACAAAACCCCAAAUGACACAAGGGACUUGACUCGAUCUAAACUACAAGUUGAGUCAACAACUAGAAUUUGACUUGAUUUCCAAACCCGAAAAUAGACCCAAAAUCUCAAUGUAUUUGGUCAGGUAUAACCUUACACCUUUAUGUCAGCAUAGUGUGUUCUCUGCUGUAGUGCUGAUGAUAAUGAUCGCUUCGAGGGGAUCGGCCUCCUUGAUCGUUUCGAGGGGAUCGGCCCUCCUUGAUCACUUUGAGGGGAUCGGCCCUCCUUGAUCACUUCGAGGGGAUCGACCUCCUAGGGUUUGUCCAAAGACAGAAUAAUAUUUUUCAUAGAUUACUGAAAAGAAGCAGUUACAUCCCUAUUUAUAGAGUUCCACCCAGAGUCCAUCAGGACUUGAACUCUAAUAAUAAAUAAAUAUUAGAUAAACCUCUACUUGACUCUAACUGAACUAAACCGACUCAAUAAACAAAUGGACUAAACAUACUCAAUAAACAUUAUUCAAAAGCUCAGAAAAAGGGUCAUAACAGUUCCUCCCUCUUCAAAUCAGCCUUGUCCUCAAGGUUGAGCAGCAUCAAUCUCGGGGAGCUUCUCUUUCAGCACUUUAGCCAUAGCCUAUCUGCAACGCAUCACAACCCGUUGAUCAAGUAAGUAUGAUCUCCACUUUUUGAGAGUGUAAGCAACAGGUCGAUUUUUCAGUAUAGUAAUCGUUGCAUGAAACUUCUGGCCCUGUAUAAUCAAUUUUAUCUUUGAACCUUUGCUAUCACAAGUGAAAAUACGUCCAUCAAUGAUCUUUACUUCGAAUCUGUCAUAGUCUUCGAUGUGGUGGGCCAAUCGGUCAACAGUCUGUCCAUAAAAUUGUUAGUGCUACUAGUAUCAAUCAAAACUAUAAUAGGCUGAUGCUCUCGAGUUUCGGCAACUUCCAUAGUUUGCGGGUUAGAGUAAUCGGCUAAUGUAUGCAUUAUAUGUGCGGUAGGUUCAACGUCUUCAUUAGAAUUUAUACCUUCAUGAUCGGAGUCCACAUUCUUCGCUUUCGGCUCCUCUCCAAUUGGUUCAAUCAUCAGAAGUUGUCAUUCUUUACAUCGAUGCUCCAUACUCCAUUUUUCAUCAUAAUACAAACCCUUUGCUGAUCUUUCCUUAAGUUCUUCUUGGGUUAGUCUUCGUCUGUCAAGGCUUUGGUUGGGAAUAGAUAGGGCUGGUAGCUUACUGAUCAUCUGGUUAUUGUCACUUUUGUUUCCAUGAUUUUCCCUGUUGAUUUUUUUCUCAUGUAGGUGUGCGAAUGAGAUUGCAGCUAUCAUAGUGCGAGGUUGACGAGCUUUAACUUCACACCGGAUCUCUGGAAUAAGACCUUCAAUAAAUGUAUCUAGAAGUUGUCGUUCCGACCAAUCUCUAACUUGAUUUGAUAAUCUUUCAAACCUACUCUGAUAUUCCAACACUGUAGAAGUCUGACAAAUUUUUGAGAGCUCUCCAUCCGCCUUCAUGUCUGAGUAGAUUGUGUCACAAUCUUGGGGCCCUUUUCUAGUAUUUUCAUAUCUGUGCAACAUAGAAUUUGAGCUCCCACCUUGAAAUUUACUAAGGCUCCCCAGUAAGUCCUUUUUGAAAUCAUUAAGUAUUUCUUGCAACCGGUUCUCAAUUCUGAUUUCCAAUGCUUCCAUUUGUGCUUUCAUUGAGUUAUCGGUGGCCAUUUUGUAAAACCGCAAAUCUGUAAUCUCAACUCCUGUUUCUGGUGUCAAGACUAGGGCAUAAAUCACUGCCCUACUCGGUGUUGUUGUUGUGAUGCAAUCGGUGGUAGCACUAUUGGAAUGAAGGGUUGCUGCGAGGAUGUGGGGAUGUAGCUGCGUUCGCUGCGUGGGAGGCAACGAUGCUUGUUGUGGUCGUUGCGUGGAGGGAUCACUACUGCUGAGGGCUGGGAGGCAGCGAUGGUUGUGCGGCUGGGGUAGCACCGCCAAGGGCUCGCCGCUGCGAUGGCUGCGACGGCGUAGAUGGAAGGCAGCAUUGCUCUGUCUCUAUCACACUGCGGAAGGAGGCACUGGUGAGAGGCAACGAUGCUUGUUACAAUUGCUACGUGGAGGGAUCGCUGCUACUGAGGACUGAGAGGUAGCGAUGGUGGUGCGGUUGGGGGCAGCGUCNNNNNNNNNNNNNNNNNNNNNNNNNNNNNNNNNNNNNNNNNNNNNNNNNNNNNNNNNNNNNNNNNNNNNNNNNNNNNNNNNNNNNNNNNNNNNNNNNNNNNNNNNNNNNNNNNNNNNNNNNNNNNNNNNNNNNNNNNNNNNNNNNNNNNNNNNNNNNNNNNNNNNNNNNNNNNNNNNNNNNNNNNNNNNNNNNNNNNNNNNNNNNNNNNNNNNNNNNNNNNNNNNNNNNNNNNNNNNNNNNNNNNNNNNNNNNNNNNNNNNNNNNNNNNNNNNNNNNNNNNNNNNNNNNNNNNNNNNNNNNNNNNNNNNNNNNNNNNNNNNNNNNNNNNNNNNNNNNNNNNNNNNNNNNNNNNNNNNNNNNNNNNNNNNNNNNNNNNNNNNNNNNNNNNNNNNNNNNNNNNNNNNNNNNNNNNNNNNNNNNNNNNNNNNNNNNNNNNNNNNNNNNNNNNNNNNNNNNNNNNNNNNNNNNNNNNNNNNNNNNNNNNNNNNNNNNNNNNNNNNNNNNNNNNNNNNNNNNNNNNNNNNNNNNNNNNNNNNNNNNNNNNNNNNNNNNNNNNNNNNNNNNNNNNNNNNNNNNNNNNNNNNNNNNNNNNNNNNNNNNNNNNNNNNNNNNNNNNNNNNNNNNNNNNNNNNNNNNNNNNNNNNNNNNNNNNNNNNNNNNNNNNNNNNNNNNNNNNNNNNNNNNNNNNNNNNNNNNNNNNNNNNNNNNNNNNNNNNNNNNNNNNNNNNNNNNNNNNNNNNNNNNNNNNNNNNNNNNNNNNNNNNNNNNNNNNNNNNNNNNNNNNNNNNNNNNNNNNNNNNNNNNNNNNNNNNNNNNNNNNNNNNNNNNNNNNNNNNNNNNNNNNNNNNNNNNNNNNNNNNNNNNNNNNNNNNNNNNNNNNNNNNNNNNNNNNNNNNNNNNNNNNNNNNNNNNNNNNNNNNNNNNNNNNNNNNNNNNNNNNNNNNNNNNNNNNNNNNNNNNNNNNNNNNNNNNNNNNNNNNNNNNNNNNNNNNNNNNNNNNNNNNNNNNNNNNNNNNNNNNNNNNNNNNNNNNNNNNNNNNNNNNNNNNNNNNNNNNNNNNNNNNNNNNNNNNNNNNNNNNNNNNNNNNNNNNNNNNNNNNNNNNNNNNNNNNNNNNNNNNNNNNNNNNNNNNNNNNNNNNNNNNNNNNNNNNNNNNNNNNNNNNNNNNNNNNNNNNNNNNNNNNNNNNNNNNNNNNNNNNNNNNNNNNNNNNNNNNNNNNNNNNNNNNNNNNNNNNNNNNNNNNNNNNNNNNNNNNNNNNNNNNNNNNNNNNNNNNNNNNNNNNNNNNNNNNNNNNNNNNNNNNNNNNNNNNNNNNNNNNNNNNNNNNNNNNNNNNNNNNNNNNNNNNNNNNNNNNNNNNNNNNNNNNNNNNNNNNNNNNNNNNNNNNNNNNNNNNNNNNNNNNNNNNNNNNNNNNNNNNNNNNNNNNNNNNNNNNNNNNNNNNNNNNNNNNNNNNNNNNNNNNNNNNNNNNNNNNNNNNNNNNNNNNNNNNNNNNNNNNNNNNNNNNNNNNNNNNNNNNNNNNNNNNNNNNNNNNNNNNNNNNNNNNNNNNNNNNNNNNNNNNNNNNNNNNNNNNNNNNNNNNNNNNNNNNNNNNNNNNNNNNNNNNNNNNNNNNNNNNNNNNNNNNNNNNNNNNNNNNNNNNNNNNNNNNNNNNNNNNNNNNNNNNNNNNNNNNNNNNNNNNNNNNNNNNNNNNNNNNNNNNNNNNNNNNNNNNNNNNNNNNNNNNNNNNNNNNNNNNNNNNNNNNNNNNNNNNNNNNNNNNNNNNNNNNNNNNNNNNNNNNNNNNNNNNNNNNNNNNNNNNNNNNNNNNNNNNNNNNNNNNNNNNNNNNNNNNNNNNNNNNNNNNNNNNNNNNNNNNNNNNNNNNNNNNNNNNNNNNNNNNNNNNNNNNNNNNNNNNNNNNNNNNNNNNNNNNNNNNNNNNNNNNNNNNNNNNNNNNNNNNNNNNNNNNNNNNNNNNNNNNNNNNNNNNNNNNNNNNNNNNNNNNNNNNNNNNNNNNNNNNNNNNNNNNNNNNNNNNNNNNNNNNNNNNNNNNNNNNNNNNNNNNNNNNNNNNNNNNNNNNNNNNNNNNNNNNNNNNNNNNNNNNNNNNNNNNNNNNNNNNNNNNNNNNNNNNNNNNNNNNNNNNNNNNNNNNNNNNNNNNNNNNNNNNNNNNNNNNNNNNNNNNNNNNNNNNNNNNNNNNNNNNNNNNNNNNNNNNNNNNNNNNNNNNNNNNNNNNNNNNNNNNNNNNNNNNNNNNNNNNNNNNNNNNNNNNNNNNNNNNNNNNNNNNNNNNNNNNNNNNNNNNNNNNNNNNNNNNNNNNNNNNNNNNNNNNNNNNNNNNNNNNNNNNNNNNNNNNNNNNNNNNNNNNNNNNNNNNNNNNNNNNNNNNNNNNNNNNNNNNNNNNNNNCCUAGGAUGAGAUCUUUGCAGGACAUGGGAUUUUCUGACACUGAAAUAGUUCAGCUGGUUUCGUCAUGUCCAAGGGUGCUCCUUCUACGUGACAUCCAACUGAGGAUCAACUUCUGGAGGUCACUUCUUGGUUCUAAUGAGUGGUUAAUUAAAGCCUUCAGGAGGAGCAUGUUUCUCCUUACUUCUAGCUUGGCUCGAAAGAUUGAGCCCAAUAUAUCUCUCUUGAGGGAAUGUGGCAUUAGUGAACAACGCAUUGCGCAGAUGGUGGUGAAACUACCAAGAUUUUUAUGUCGAACAGAAAAAUGUAUCAAGGAAUUUAUCGAACACGUUGAGGAGUUGGGUGUGUCACGUGACUGUAAAAUCUUCCCUCGUGCACUAUUAUCAGUCAUGACCCUGAGCAGGUCCAGGUUUGAUGCUACCUUUGCAACCCUGAUGAGCUUUGGGUGGUCCCAACCAGACAGCAUUGCUGCAUUCAGGAGGCAUCCAGUCAUUUGGAAUCUCUCAAAGAAGAACUUAUGUGAUAAGAUGACAUUCCUGAUGAACCAAGCUGGUUGUGAGCUGACAUAUAUCAUUUAUCAUCCUGUGCUUCUUACAUAUAGCUUGGAGAAGAGGUUGAGACCUCGAUAUGAAGUUAUGAAUUUUCUUGAUCAGAAUAAAUUGCUGGAUAAAGGAUAUAACCUGCAAUAUGUCGUGAAGCUAUCUGAAGAGAAGUUCAGAAACAAAUUCCUUUUCCUGCUACGCAAGGAGAAUUUUAUUGCUCAAUAUGAUUCCUAUGUCGUUGCUGUGCAGGGAAAGCACGACGUUGUUGUGGAAAACUAGGAUUGCAAGUGCUUCCUUAAGACAAAGUGUCAACCUAUUGCAUGCUGACUGCAAGUUAAUCACUUUUUAUUUGUGACCAUUUAAAUUCUGCAGGAGUUUCUUUGAGUAUAACUUCCACGUUGAUUUGGUGAUUGUUCUUCUAUUUAUUUUUUCUACAACAACAGGUACUGUUUCUUUUAUGCUGAUGUCUCAGAAAUUGGUGUGGGGUAAAGUCAAUUACUUCAGAAAGGUAACCAAAUAAAAGAUUGCUGGAUAUUAGUUUCUAGUUCAAGAACCAAGUGCUAAAUUCAUGGUGUAGAGGUUGAGAACUACUAUUUCUCUGCCGAACUCAAAAAUUUGAUGAUGAGAAUUUGUAGAUUAAGAAAGGCAACAGUGUCAAUAAAAAAUUAUUGUGUUAUCGAUACAUUGGUUACACUUUAUCUCAUUGGGAGUCAAGAAAAUAAAUUUAUUAUUUGUGAAGUAAAACGAAAAGCUAAGAAUUAUGAUGACAAAAUAUUUUAAACGGUAAAAAAAAAGAAAAAAGAGGGGGUUUAAACCCCUGGUGAUUCAAACACACAACCUUGCACCAUGGAUCAUUGUGUUCUAUAGUGUAUUUGAAAUAAAUAUCUUAAGCAUAAUAGAAAUGAUCGUCAUCAUUUUAGGGCUAGAGAUUUCUAGACACCACGCGAGGCCAAAGACAAGAUAAAAUAUAGUUUCAAACUUUUAACACUUCCUUUAAAUCUUAGUGAUCAAGAAAUAAUAGAAGAAUUUUGUAUUGGAUGAUUUGUCAUAAAUUUUAUUUUUUGUCGGCUACGAUACUUCUUUAAUGUUUUUUUGACAUAAUACUUAAUUCUUACCUUCAUUAUUGUGAGUCUUGUAGUAAGAAUUGUUUCUUUCUAAUCAAGUGGUUAUUAAGUUUAUUAUCGUGAUUCUUUUAGUAAGAACUUAACGGAUAUGCAAGAUUAAGCUGUGUAUACUUGGGGUUCAUACAAAUUUCUCUAGUAUUUCAUAUAAUAUUUCUAAACAAAAAAUUAAAUGCUUUUCGAUAAUAAGUUCUUGUUAAAGCAUUGGCUACGUGAAACAUAAAGUCAAAUCUUAGAAUAAGGUUAUAUCUAAAGUAACAUAACUUAUGAUGCUAGAUUUAUUUUAUAAAAUGAGACUUUUGAUAGAACCAUCGUGGAUUGGGGUUAUCUAUGUAGGGGAUCGACCUUCUUGGAACUCUAUAGGGGUUCUUCCUCCAAGUUGCUGCUAAAAAUAUUCAUCUAUUUCUUAUUAAAAGAGGAUGAAUAAAUGACUAUUUAUAAGGCUUCUAAAUCUCAACUCAUAAUAGGACUCUUACUCAAGACUCCUAUUUCUAACCAACUCCUAAUGCUUCUCUAAGAAGCAACCUCCAAACUAAUCCUAUCCUUAGCUGGCCUCUUCAUGAUCUUUAAUGGGUGUUGGUUAGGUAGGUUUUACAUGAAUGCCUAGCUAGAGUCCUAACAACUUUUUAAUCCACAAAUUUAUUAUAUAUUUUUUAGCAUAAAAAUUUGAUGUUACAUAAUUAUUUUAAUUUGCUUUCGUAGGCUUCUCUAUCAUCAAAUGUCUACCGAGAUAUGUAUUGGCUUUCAUAGUAUAAUAUUUAUAUUUAUUAUUUUAGGGGAGUCAAAAAAUCUCUUCUUUCCUACCUAUUGCUAGGAACGUAAUUGUUCUCGUCUAAGUUGUACAGUAACAUUGCGAUACUUAUUCGCAAAGGAUAAAUCGUAACCUCAUUAAAUCCACUAAAAAAUUAUAUUAAAAAAAUUAAUAUAUUUUUUAUUUUACGUACCGCUUUAUAAUUUUCAUUUCAAGCAUCAUCAAAACACCAAAUGAUGCAAAGGACCCGAAUAAAACUAUAAUGUAACUUAUUUCCAAACUCAAAAUCUGAAUGCAUUUGGUUAGGUAUAACCUUACACCUUUAUCUCACUAUGUUCUCUUCUCUACUGUAGUGUUAAAAGUCAUUAUCUUGGCAACUCGAGGCUUGUUCUUACCUUAAAACAAGUUGCCCAGCUUAUGUUUCAAUGAUCACAUAUUGUAUUUGAGAGUUUAGUUGGUGAUGUGAAGGAGAAUUAUGUAAGACAACGUAUGUAGUCAAAUUAAAAUAAUUAAAAUCUCUUUCUAUUACUAGUAAAUUUUCUUGACUUUUGUUAUUAUUAUGAUUGUGCACUUGCAGGUUACAUUGACAAAUUCUCCAUCUAUAUUACGCUAGUGAUGCUUCUCAAUAAAAAUAGAAAUAUAUUUUUUCAUGAGUGAUGUUUAGCUGAAGCUACAUAUAAUUUUUUUUACUGAAACAAGUGGUCACUUAUGCUUUCUUUCACCUAAGCACACUGUGAUGAGACCUGAGAGUCUGAUGAGUGAGUUGGUUGAGCGAGUUAGACAUUCAUCUGAUUCAAUUGUAGUUGGAUUGAGCUUAAAUCAAACUAAUUUGAUUUCACUUGGAUUCAAGUGCUGAGCGGGUCAAGCGCCUAAUUGAUUUGUAAAUAAUAAAUUGAAAUCUAAGAAGAUGGUUAUAAUAUAACAUAACAUGUUAAUAUGCAAAAGUCAAACAAUCUGGAUUGUAAUUAGCUCACGUAGUCCAUUAUGAAUGAUUCUGCAUUGAAACUAAAAAUGGGUUGGCGACAAGCAAACUUUGACCGACAAAAUGGAUCAGCUUUAUUUUUAUUAAGUGUGUGGUUUAUCAAAUAUCUUAGUUUCCUUAUAUUGUCUAUCUUUCUGCAAUUUUCUUUUUCAAACACAUAGCAAAACCCCAAAUGAUCUAAAUGUGCUGAACAAGUAUAGUGUAACUUAUUUCUAACUCCAAAAUAGAUCUAAAAUCUCAAUGUAUUUAGUUAGGUAUAACUAGUCCUUAUCUGGUUUGAAUCAAAACUGAAUCGAACCAAAAUGGACGAUUGGUUGAUUGGAAAUCAAAUCGGAAUCGACUAGGGGUGAUUUAAUUCUAGUUCCUAGGUUUGAAAAAUUAAAAUAAACGAUCUCAGAAUUAAUGAUUCUGCUUCCUAUUUAAAUAAUCAAUUUGAUGGGCAUUUUAUAUAGAAAAAAACCUAUAUCAAAUAGGUUAUAAUGGAUAAUUGAGCUUCAACAAUUGGGCCCAAUAGUCAGUGCUUGGCUCAAUAAUCGAAGGAGUGUCAAAUGAACAAUUUGCCAGCGAUGGUACCACCCAACAGUAGAUCCUGUUGUAGUACCGUCCAAGAAUGAUUGUAUAAUAAUUAAAAUAUGACAUUAAUAGCUACAAAAUCAAAAAAGAUAAAAUAUUAUUAUUGUAAGUUUAGGAGUCAAUGAUAUUAGUGAUAAGAUUAGUGAUAUUAAAAAAUUAAUUAUUAACUUAUAUAACCUUUAUAGUGCUAAAUAUAGUAGACAAUACGGUAUCUUUGAAACUUAUCAUGGAUCAAACUAGCAAAGAUAAUAAAAUUUGUAAUGGACGAAAACUAUCAUUACAAAGAUUUAAAAGAAUCAAAGGAAUCGUCAAGCUAAAACUUAAAGUUUAAUAUGUAUCUAAUAACUUUUUAAAGUUUGGUGACAGCAGAGAGUUUUCUAUUCUAGAAUGAUGGAUAUGAUACAUAAUAACAUUUUCAAUUAAUACUAAUAACUUUAAUAUCGAUGGUACCUAUAGAGUGAGUCUUCAAAAGAUAGAUUCUACGUGAAACUAGAUUGAGUAUGACCCUCGAAUCAAUUGAUGUUUAAGUAUACAUUAAUAGAUAAAGAUGACGAAACUAAAGCAAUACAUCUUCUACGAGGAUAAUUAUCUCAUAUUAAACAUAUCAAUUGAAAGGAUGAUUGAAAUAUCCAAUAUUAGAGGAAGGGAUUAAAUAUUUAUAAUUUUACAUAAUUUUAUAUUAAUUUUAUUAUAUCAUUACACAUUUACUACAUUCAUUUUUCAAAAAUUAAAAAUAAAAUUAUGAUUUUUUUAUUAUAAUAUUUAAAUCAAACUAGAAUAAAAUCGAUCGAACUUGAACCGACCCUUAGGGGUUCGAUUUUUUAUUCUAAAAUUUGCCAAAUGAUAAUUCCGGAAUUGAAAUCAAUUUACUUAGGCUAGAUUUAAACUUACAUGGAUAAAAGCCACUCUCUCGACAAUUUGAGACUUGUUCUUAACUCAAAACAAAAUGUCCUACCAAUAUUUAGAUUAUCAAAUCUUAUAUUUGCUGGUUUAGUUAGUGACUCGAAGGAGAAUGUAUUACUAACAAUAGAAAGAGAAUUGAAUGCUUUAAAUUUGACUAAAUAUGUUUUCUUACAUAGAGCUUAAAUAGUUCGGAUAUUAUGGCUUUUGUUUUUAUUGUUAUUGUUUGCACUUGUUUGUUUUUAUUAGCAAAUUCUCACUGAUUUAGAUUCUCAAUAAAAAAGUAAUUUUUCUUCGUCAAUGAGAACGGCAUUCUGAAAGUCGCACCCGUGCCCUAAAUGCAGCGGUGAAACUGUCUCCUUCUCCACAGCGACUGCGACUGCGGCGUUUUCCUUCUCGAAAGGCGGCAGCAGCGGCGGGAUCUUCCUCCGUCGAGCUCUUAUCGCUGCGGGGUUUUCCUCGGAGAACGGUGGAGGCUGCGGCUUCCUCUCCGUCAUCGAACGGUACAGCGCCCAGUAUCUCUCUCUUACUCCUACUCCUUCGCCGUCGCACAAUCCCUUCUCCUCCCUCCUCCUCCCUCUUCCCCCUUUCGUCGCAGCUCUCCCGCUUCCCUGACACCAUCCUCCUCCUCCUCCCUUCUCCUCCCUCCUCUCUCUUUCACCCGUUCAUCGCAGCCCCUCGCCCCUCUUCCCCGAUCCCUCCCCCUCCUCCACUUCAUCACAGUCCCCGCCCCCUGUUUUCCUACUCCGAUCAACAUGGUAAAUGCCUUUGCCACUCUUAUGCAGCAUAUUUGAUGAAGAUACAUUUGAUAUGGUUUUUAAAUUGCUACAGGGAUAUGGGAUGCUUGGUAGUGUCUAAACCCACCAACUACAUUGGAAAAAUAAGUGGAAUAUUGUGUCUGUGCGCUGGUGUUGUCUGAUGCCAUUAUUUCAGUGGUGGAAAAUUGCUCGGAUGUGAGCAUGAUAAUAAGUAACUAAUCAUAGGUACUCUUUAUCAACUCUCAAACACCAUUUAGAGACUUAUCUCUGAAAGAAAUGGCUGAUUGGAACUAAAUGCAUGUGGAUUAACAUGAUUGGUAAAGGAAUGUUGUCUGAGACAGAUGAUUAGUCGAAAGUUUUCAACAUCCUUGAUUUGAGGUAGAAGAGGAAUUUGGACUUGGAGAGGGCAUAAACAAGACUACUUUUCUUGUAUUUUUCUGCAAACAGUGCGGGAUACUGCCUCAAAAGACUAAUGUUUUCGGUCCAGCAGAGGCUCUUUUGCCUUCUCUCUUGUAACAAGUCCAACAUCCAUCUUUCCUCCUAUCAACUCUGCAGUCUGUUUAGCUUUUCCACUGCCAAAGAGCACAGUUCAAAUCAUAGAUCCAACUUUACAUUGGUCGACCCCCUUGAGUCAUGUGAACUUUCCUCAAAAGAGGCUGCAAAAACGGCUGAUGAUCGCAUCUGUGAAAAAAAACUUUCAAGUUCAAGUCCUUCUAUUGAGUUCUUUAAGCAGAGUGGUUGGAGUGAUGCACAAGUCAUGAAGCUUAUGCAGAGGGAACCCGGGUUUCUACGUGCUAACGUAGAGACUAUCCUGAAGCCCAGGAUGAGAUCUUUGCAGGACAUGGGAUUUUCUGACACUGAAAUAGUUCAGCUGGUUUCAUCAUGUCCAAGGGUGCUCCUUCUACGUGACAUCCAACUGAGGAUCGACUUCUGGAGGUCACUUCUUGGUUCUAAUGAGUGGUUAAUUAAAGCCUGCAGGAGGAGCAUGUUUCUCCUUACUUCUAGCUUGGCUCGAAAGAUUGAGCCCAAUAUAUCUCUCUUGAGGGAAUGUGGCAUCAGUGAGCAAUGCAUCGUGCAGAUGGUUGUGACACAACCAAGUUUAUUUUGUCGGACAGAAAAAUGUAUCAAGGAAUUUAUCGAACAUGUUGAGGAGUUGGGUGUGUCACGUGACCGUAAAAACUUCCAUCGUGCACUAUUAGCAGUCAUGACCCGGAGCAGGUCCAGGUUUGAUGCUACCUUUGCAACCCUGAUGAGCUUUGGGUGGUCCCAACCAGACUGCAUUGCUGCAUUCAGGAGGCAUCCAUCCAUUUGGAAUCUCUCAAAGAAGAACUUAUGUGAUAAGAUGACAUUCCUGAUGAAGGAAGCUGGUUGUGAGCUGACAUAUAUCAUUUAUCGUCCUGUGCUUCUUACAUAUAGCUUGGAGAAGAGGUUGAGACCUCGAUAUGAAGUUAUGAAUUUUCUUGAUCAGAAUAAAUUGCUGGAUAAAGGACAUAACCUGCAAUCUCUCGUGAAGCUAUCUGAAGAGAAGUUCAGAAACAAAUUCCUUUUCCUGCUACGCAAGGAGAAUUUUAUUGCUCAAUAUGAUUCCUAUGUCGUUGCUGUGCAGGGAAAGCACGACGUUGUUGUGGAAAACUAGGAUUGCAAGUGCUUCCUUAAGACAAAGUGCAACCUAUUGCAUGCUGACUGCAAGUUAAUCACUUUAUAUUUGUGACCAUUUAAAUUCUGCAGGAGUUUCUUGGAGUAUAACUUCCACGUUGAUUUGGUGAUUGUUCUUCUAUUUAUUUUUUCUACAACAAAAGGUACUGAUUCUUUUAUGCUGAUGUCUUAGAAAUUGGUGUGGGAAAGUCAAUUACUUCAGAAAGGUAACCAAAUAAAAGAUUGCUGGAGAUUAGUUUCUAAUUCAAGAACUAAGUGCUAAAUUCAUGGUGUAGUGUUCAUAUGCUCUCUAUAGAAGUUAAAAAGGUUGAGAACUACUAUUUCUCUGCAGAACUCGAAGACAGUUGUAUAAUCUGGGUAAUAUAUUGAUAUAAAAAUUUGAUGAUGAGAAUUUGUAGAUUAAGGCAACAGUGUCAACAAAAAAUUAUUGUGUUACCGAUACAUUGGUUAUUUUAUCUCAUUAGGAGUCAAGUAAAUAAAUUUAUUAUUUGUGAAGUAAAAUGAGUAAAACGAAAAGCUAAGAAUUAUGAUGACAAAAUAUUUUAAACGGUAAAAAAAAGAAAAAAGAGGGGGUUUAAACCCCACGUGAUUCAAACACACAACCUUGCACCAUGGAUCAUUGUGUUCUAUAGUGUAUUUGAAAUAAAUAUCUUAAGCAUAAUAUCUUAAGUAUUUGAAAUAAAUCAAACUAGAAUCAAAAUCGAUCAAACUUGAACCGACCCUUAGGGGUUCGAUUUUUUAUUCUAAAAUUUGCCAAAUGAUAAUUCCGGAAUUGAAAUCAAUUUACUUAGGCUAGAUUUAACCUUACAUGGAUAAAAGCCACUCUCUCGAUAAUUUGAGACUUGCUCUUAACUCAAAACAAAAUGUCCUACCAAUAUUUAGAAUAUCAAAUCUUAUAUUUGCUGGUUUAGUUAGUGACUCGAAGGAGAAUGUAUUACUAACAAUAGAAAGAGAAUUGAAUGCUUUAAAUUUGACUAAAUAUGUUUUCUUACAGAGAGCAUAAAUAGUUCGGAUAUUAUGGCUUUUGUUUUUAUUGUUAUUGUUUGCACUUGUUUGUUUUUAUUAGCAAAUUCUCACUGAUUUAGAUUCUCAAUAAAAAAAAAGUAAUUUUUCUUCGUCAAUGAUACGUUGACGAAAGUUCUUCACGAUAGCGGAAGCAAUUGACUACACCGGGCGGUCGAGUUCAUCAUGGUGCGGCCCAGGCGCCCGCAUGAUUAAGGCUUAGUCGAGCCCGAGUCAAGUCAAUUUGGAAAUCUGAUUCGAUUGAACCAGAUGAGAACGGCAUUCUGAAAGUCGCACCCGUGCCCUAAACGCAGCGGUGAAAGUGUCUCCUUCUCCACCGCGACCGCGACUCGGCGUUUUCCUUCUCGAACGGCGGCAGCAGCGGCGGGAUCUUCCUCCGUCGAGCUCUUAUCGCUGCGGGGUUUUCCUCGGAGAACGGUGGAGGCUGCGGCUUCCUCUCCGUCAUCGAACGGUACAGCGCCCGGUAUCCCUCUCUUACUCCUACUCCUUCGCUGUCGCACAAUCCCUUCUCCUCCCUCCUCGUCCCUCUUCCCCCUUUCGUCCCAGCUCUCCCGCUUCCCUGACACCAUCCUCCUCCUCCCUUCUCCUCCCUCAUCUCUCUUUCACCCGUUCAUCGCAGCCCCUCGCUCCUCUUCCCCGAUCCCUCCCCCUCCUCCACUUCAUCACAGUCCCCGCCCCCUGUUUUCCUACUCCGAUCCCAACGGUCCCCUCUCCGUUUUCCUACCCCGGACCCGACAGCCCCCUCUCCAUUAUCUUGCUCCGGCCCCGACAGCCCCCAUCUCCCUCCUCUACACCCCUCUUCGCCCUCUCUAUACAUCUUCCCCUCCCCUUUCCUUCUCCCUGAUAGUUACCCGCUACCCUCCCAACAAGCAGUCAGCAGCAUAUCAUGAGCAUUUACUUUAAAGAAAUAGCAAGUCACAGUAUGCAAGUUAAAUACUGUUGUUAAGAUAGACAGCAGGAGAAGUGCUGCUUUUAUAAAGAGCAAAGGGAAUUAGGGAGUCUUAGAGAAAAAGAAAAACACACGGAAAAGAUAGAACAAGAGAUAGCUGGGACAAUAAUUGGGUCACUGUCCAAAGAAAAUCAUAAUUAUUUGUCAAUAGAAUCAUGCACAAGUCUGACUAUUCCUCAUGUGAAGCAUUUUAAUUAAAAAUAUACCUAAGAUAAUACUAAUCUGACUAGGUUUCCCAAAAUAAGCUCUCUCAACAGCAACUGCUUAUUUUGAUGAAUUGUUUGGUUCAUCAAACCUCUUAGUUUUCUUAUUAUGUUUACUGCAUUGCAGUUUCCUUUUCAAGCACAUCAGAAAAUUUCAACACAAAGCUCCAAAUGACACAAAGGACUCGACUCAAUCUAAACGACAAGUUGAGUAAACAACUAGAAUUUGACUUGAUUUCCAAACCCGAAAAUAGACCCAAAAUCUCAAUGUAUAUGGUCAGGUAUAACCUUACACCUUUAUGUCAGCAUAGUGUGUUCUCUGCUGUAGUGCUGAAAGCAACUAUCUCUGCUACUUGAGGCUUGUUCGUACCUCAAAACACACAGGCCUGCUUAUAUUUGAAUGGUCAAAUCUUGUAUUUGCUGGUUUAGUUGGUGAUUUGAAGGGGCCUUUUCCAGUAACAACAGAAAGAGAUUUGAAUUCUCUUACUUUAACUACAGAUAUUUUCUUACACAGAGUUCAAUGAUGCAGAAGAUCCAUAUGGCUGAUCAUGAAUAGUUUGGACAUCAUGGCUUUUGUUAUUAUUGUGGUUGCUUGCACUUGCUGGUUUUAUUGGCAAAUCCUCACUGAUCUAGGUUUUUUUUCUUCAUUAAUUAUAUGUAGCUGAUGCCACAUAUAAUUUUUUUACUGUAGUUGAAGUUAUUUACAUGAGCAAUCUUUCUCAUAAAUUAAGUUCUUUUAUCAGCAUAGAACCAAAUAAACUAGUAGCAUUACUUGAUUGAGGCAGUUUUCUUAUCUCUGUGUUCAUUUUUCAGAAAAUUUAUUGCCUUUCUCUGGUCUUCCAGCUAUGUUGUUUUUUUUUGUCACGUUGGUCAUCUUCAUCAUCAAUGCCUUUUUUAGCAUGUUGAACCUCACAAUUUACUGUUGUUAAUUAAUUCAACAGUAUCUUUUCUACUUACCAGUUUUGCAAGACUUAUAACUAGAUCAUCUCUCUACAUUCUUGAUGAAAUGGAUCAAUUAUUCUGGAAGUGCUCAUUUGAAAUGUUCCAGGUUUUAGUUAUAGGACAUUACUGAAUCUGAUGUUAGAGAAAACAUUAUGCAUCUUCCUGUUAUUCUGAAUUCUUUAGUACCAUUUGCAAGUCAUUGAUGUUCAACCUACAAGUAUAAACAUGAGUAUCGUCUGUAUACGAUCAACAUGGUAAGUGCCUUUGCCACUCUUAUGCAGCAUCUUCGAUGAAGAUACAUUUGAUAUGGUUUUUAAAUUGCUACAGGGAUAUGGGAUGCUUGGUAGUGUCUAAACCCACCAACUACAAUGGAAAAAUAAGUGGAAUAUUGUCUGUGCGCUGGUGUUGUCUGAUGCCAUUAUUUCAGUGGUGGAAAAUUGCUCGGAUGUGAGCAUGAUAAUAAGUAACUAAUCAUAGGUACUCUUUAUCAACUCUCAAACACCAUUUAGAGACUUAUCUCUGAAAGAAAUGGCUGAUUGGGACUAAAUGCAUGUGGAUUAACAUGAUUGGUAAAGGAAUGUUGUCUGAGACAGAUGAUUAGUUGAAAGUUUUCAACAUCCUUGAUUCGAGGUAGAAGAGGAAUUUGGACUUGGAGAGGGCAGAAAUAAGACUACUUUUCUUGUAUUUUUCUGCAAACAGUACGGGAUACUGCCUCAAAAGACUAAUGUUUUCGGUCCAGCAGAGGCUCUUUUGCCUUCUCUCUUGUAACAAGUCCAACGUCCAUCUUUCCUCCUAUCAACUCUGCAGUCUGUUUAGCUUUUCCACUGCCAAAGAGAACAGUUCAAAUCAUAGAUCCAACUUUACAUUGGUCGGCCCCCUUGAGUCAUGUGAACUUUCCUCAAAAGAGGCUGCAAAAACGGCUGAUGAUAGCAUCUGUGAAAAAAAACUUUCAAGUUCAAGUCCUUCCAUUGAGUUCUUUAAGCAGAGUGGUUGGAGUGAUGCACAAGUCAUGAAGCUUAUGCAGAGGGAACCCAGGUUUCUACGUGCUAACGUAGAGACUAUCCUGAAGCCCAGGAUGCGAUCUUUGCAGGAGAUGGGAUUUUCUGACACUGAAAUAAUUCGGCUGGUUUCAUCAUGUCCUACUCUGCUCCGUUUAAGUGAUAUCCAACCAAGGAUCAACUUCUGGAGAUCACUACUUGGUUCUAAUGAGAGGUUUCUGAAAGCCUGCAAGAGGAACAUGUUUGUUCUUACUUCUAGCUUGGCUCGGAAUAUAGAACCCAGUAUAUCUCUCUUGAGGGAACGUGGCAUCAGUGAUGAGCGGAUCGCGCAUAUGGUGGUGACAAUGCCGGGCGGUUUUGGUAGAAUAGACAAAUUAAAGGAAGUUAUCAAAUAUAUUGAUGAAUUGGGUGUCCCACGAGACUCUGGAGUAUACACUAAAGCACUUAAUGUGGUCAUUACCGUGAGCAGGUCCAGGUUUGAUGCUAUGUCGGUAACUCUGAUGAGCUUUGGGUGGUCCCAGCCUGACAUCAUUGCUUUAAUCGGGAAGUGCACCUCCAUUUGGACACUCUCAAAGAAGAACAUAUGUGACAAGAUGACAUUCCUGAUGAAGGAAGCUGGUUGUGAGCUGACAUAUAUCAUUGGCCAUCCCGUGCUUCUUACAUAUAGCUUGGAGAAGAGGUUGAGACCUCGAUAUGAUGUUAUGAAUUUUCUUGAUCAGAAUAAAUUGCUGGAUAGAGGACAUAACCUGGCAUCUGUCGUGACGCUACCUGAAGAGAAGUUCAGAAACAAAUUCCUUUUCCUGCUAGGCGAGGAGAAAUUUAUUGCUCAAUAUGAGUCCUAUGUUGUUGCUGUGCAGGGAAAGAAUGACGUUGUUGCGGAAAACUAGUAUUGCAAGUGCUUCCUUAAGACAAAGUGUCGACCUAUUGCAUGCUGACUGCAAAUUAAUCACUUUAUAUUUGUGACAAUUUAAAUUCUGCAAGAGUUUCUUGGAGUAUAACUUCCAUGUUGAUUUGGUGAUUCUUCUUCUAUUUAUUUUUUCUGCAACAAGAGGUACUGAUUCUUUUAUGCUGAUGUCUCAGAAAUUGGUUUGGGGGAAAGUCGAUUACUACAGAAAGGUGUAACCGAAAUAUCAAGCUUUUGUGUUCUGUUUCUACCUUAUUUAGCUAAUUCUGUCAGCUGAUCGAUCAGUGUCAACUUGGCCUCGGUCAUGUUAAUUGGUCACUGUGCAGUCAUUUAGAUUAUUGUGAUCUAAUUUAGUGAGGAAACCUUUUGAAUGGGGACAUCUCAAAGAAUUAUGUAAGAGCCACUUGGACUGAACAUACUUCAAAGGAAACAACUGAUGUGGAUGUGACUAUAACAUAUUUGUUCUUGUCAUAUCCGGACUCGUACAUUAAAAAAUAUAGAGCAAUACGUCGAUUUUAACAGUUUAAUUUAACGCAUUGAACAACAUAUCUAUAAGAAAUUUGAUACACAUCUGCAUUGUUAUAUAAUUAAAUCAAGUGUUCGAUUUUGCUUAUGCGAUCUAAUAGACCCAACAUGUCUCCUGCGUUUGGUUUCAUUUAAUUAGUAAGACCCAUGCAUUUUGUCACACUCCGGUAUUUAUGUGUAUGUUUGAAUUCAUCUCAACCAAAUUGAGCAUAUAUCACAAAUUCAAAAAGAUUAUUUAAUUUGAGCUACGUUGGUUGUAUCUUUAGUUUUUUUUUUUAUAUAUAAUAACAGUUUAAUUGUAUUAAGAGAACAAUUAGCAGGUAGGUAAUAAAAUGUGCAUAUAUCUGCAGUUCGUUAGUUAUGGAGCUUUUUUUUAAAUGUAAUGUUGUAUUAUCAUUUUAGUGUCUUAAAAAUAAAAAACAGUAUCAUUAUUUUCUUUAGUGAUAUGUUUAGUUGAUAAAUUUUUAAUUUAAUAAAAAAUUCUAAGAGGAAAGAUUCAAAAGAGUGGACAGAGAAUAUUGUUGGAUGGUGGUAGAGCGACUACUGAUUAUAAGCUGGCAAUGAUGUUGAAGAGUGUAAAAUUCUUUUCUGAAGUUCUAAAAGAUUAUAAAAAUAUAUAUAUAUAUUUUUAAAGAAUAUAUAAAUGUAGAUUAUUAAUUCUUAAUUUGUCAAGAGAAUAGUAUAUGUAAUUUUUGCUUCGUACAACUUGGUUUGUGUUAUGAAACUUCAUUUUUUUUCUUCUAAUGUUGUAUUAUCAUUUUGGUGUCUUCAAAAUAAGGAAAAGUGUCAUUAUUAUUUUUUAGUAAUAUGUAUAGUUACUAAAAUUUUAACUUAAUUAAAGAUUCUAAGAGGAAGGACUGAGAAAAUUGGACAAAGGAGAUUGUCGGAUAGUUGUGGAGCAACUAUUGAUUAUAAGUUAGUAAUGAUUCUGAAGAAUGUAAAAUACUUUUUAAAAGUUCUAAAAAAACAAAAUAUAUCUAUUCUGAAUAUUUUGGACAAGAAGAACAAAACAAAUGGAGCUCACAUUUUUUUUGCAUUAGUUUUUGACCCAAAUUAGUUUCAGAAAAUUUGCUGCUUAUGUCCUCGUUUAUUUUUCAACAAAUCCUCUUUUAUGCAUUAAUAAUUUGCUGGCAAGUCCCUUCCUGAAGUCUUUUUUUUUUCUUCUCUUAUAUUUAUCAUGAUGCUCAGGUAUGAUUUGUUUGUUUCAUGACAUAAUUAUUUAUUUUAUUUUAUUUUUUUUAAAUAAAUAGCUAAGAUAAGAUUUCACCAGAGAGGAUCUCGAGUUCAUCAAAGAAGACCUUUUUCUUGAAGACCUUUUAACAUAAAACUUCUAAUUAGAAAGGUCUAUGAAAACCACAAGUAACAACCUUUAGUAAUUUGAAAAAAUAAUUAUCUUAUUAAAUUAUUUCUCGAGUACUUUGCACUUACUUGUUUGAUCAUGGGAAGGACCUCUUAAGUUGCAACAUCAUUAAUUGCUUCUGUCUUUUCUCCUUCUUCGUUAGGUCUUGAUAAAAAACGUCUAUCUUUCUGAAAGGUUGAUAAAAUUAUCAUCUAAGUAAGAUACUUGAAAGUUGUUAUGACAGACUACUCCUGUUCGAAUGCAUCCAUAAGUUAUCUAUCUUUUUUCUACAAAAGUUUUCAUUACUUGGGAUACAUAAAGUCGUAAACUUCCUUUACAUUUCACUAACUCGGCGAGGCAUAUGAUGCGUAGCGUCAGCAGUUAUAUAUAAUGCAAAUAACAAUUCUAAUGUUAGCAAUAGGUCUCUCAUUAUUCCCUUUCAUAAUAUGUGCUUUUGUUAAAAGUUCAUCUACACCAAUAAAAACUAAGUAUCUGACACUUUAGUUUAUCUUGCUUGGAAUUUGCUAUUGCAUAUUUGCCAAGCGAAUCACCUUCGACAUAGGCUUUGCAACAAAUGUACAACAUCCUCACAAAUCACCUUCGACAUAGGUUGCUUGGCUUGGGUGACUACUUCCAAUGCCUUUGUGCCCUUAGCUCCUAAUGGAUGACUCGUUUUCCCUCGUGAAUCAACUUAAAAAUCUUUGGUGGAGGCACUAUGGUAACUUAAUGUUCAAAUAUGGGCGACUAAGUUAGCCGGCCAAGAUGGCUAUUAGCAUCCAUCCGAAGCAAUUUUAUGAAUAGAUUAACCACCGCUCAAAUUCUAAAAUGUUAGCUGUGGGUGGAAACUUAGAUGUUUCUACCAUAGCCAGCUAGUUCUGUCAGCUGAUCAGUGUCAACUUUGCCUCUGUCAGGUUAAUUGGUGUGAAGUGUCUGCUUAGUUCACCAUUGCCUCGUGGAAGACCCAUAUUGAUAUGGAUUUCCUUGAUCCAAUGUCUGCUUAGUUCACCAUCUUGCCACCUAUAAGGAUACAAUUGUCUGCCAAAUAAUUUAUACCUUCUGAAACAUGUUGUAAGUUUAGUUAUUUAAAAUCUAACAGCAAAAGUUUAUGAACUUUACAUUAACAUUUUCUGAACUCAAUCCCCCGAUUGCGUACUGAUUGUACUAUUGAAUCAUCUUAAAUUUAUGAAAAUUUGAAUUCUCCGUAACUAUCGAAGAAGGAACCUCUUAGAGUAUAACAUCCAUGUUGAUUUUGAGAUUCGUUUUCUCUAAUGUUUUUCAUGCUACAAACGAAAUCAAAUCUUUUAUAUCGAUGUAAAUGGGUACAAGUCAUUAGUUCAGAAAGAUAAUCAAAAUAUUCUCAAGUUCUUAUAUUAUAUUUCUAUCAUAGUUGACGAAUUGAUUCAUGUCAACUUGGCCUCAAUCAUGUUUAAUUGACGUUGAUUACGUUAUUAUUAAUUUUAUUGUAAUAUGUGAAAUCUUGAUAGCUGAACUAUCAUUUAAACGUUUUUGAUCUAUUUAAAUAAAGUAUGAUAUAUCGUAUGAAUAAGGAUAGAAUUAUGGAUGUCAUGUUGGUAUUAAAAUUAUAAUCUAAGCCCUAUAAAUUGAUAGAAAUUUAAUUGUGUGAGGACUUUCAUUCAUCGAAUACUCAUCAUUUCUCAACCUCUUAUGUCACUCAUCUAAGUUUUUGUUGAAGGUUCUAUUGGUAUAAUCAAGUGGCGAUGAGGAGCCAUUGUCACAUGAAAUAAUAUGAUUAAUCAUAUUAAGAAGUCUUAAUUGAAAUAUAAGCAUAAUAAGACAGAAAAAAUUAGUAUGAGAACAUCAUUCCCGUAGUAUCAACACAAACCUAAGAUAAUAAAUAAUACAUUGAUAGAUUUUCUUCUCCGUUUUAUCUCCUUUUCAUUUCUUUCUUAUGAGACGGUGGUCCAUAUGUGCCUCAGCAGUCAUUGCAAAACUGUGGUUUCAUUUUACAUGUUGAAGCAUUAGUCAUUUUGGCUUCCAAAAUAAUUUUAUCUGACUUUUCAAUCUUUGUAUGGCAUCGAUUAUUUUGUUACGUGGGCAUCCGAUAAGUGGGGUGGGCCCCAUGAAUUCAGCCGGAGGCGGUUCGACGCGUCCGGCGGCCGAAUGAUUAAAUUCCGGAUCGAACCCGAGUCACACUCGAACCCCUCCCAAACCCCCGCGGCUCCACCGCUGCCCUAAUCGCCGCGACCGCCAAAGUGUCUGUUUUUCUUCGGCGACUGCGGCGUCUCCUCGGUGAACAACGGCUGCCUUCCUCUCCAUCGGGAAACAGCGACAGUGGCGGUGGCGUCUUGCCCUCCCGGUAUCUCUCUUUCUCUUCCUCCUUCGCCAUCGCAAACUCCCUUCUCCUCCCUCUUUCCCAUCUGUUCAUCGCAGCCCCGCCCCCACCAUGCCCCACGCGCGCCACCCCCCUCCCUUCGUCGCAGCCCCCCUUCCCCUAUCGCUCCUCCCUCUCCCCCUUUCGUCGCAAGCUCGCUGCCUUCCCCGACACCAUCCUCCUCCUCCUUCCUCCCUCUUCCCUCUUCCCUCUUCCCGCUUCCCCCAAUUUUUCUUUGUUUUUCUUCCUCGAUACCAUCCUCCCCUCCCUUCUCCUUCCUCCUCCCUCCUCCCCCUGUUCAUCGCAGUCGCCCCCCCCCCCCUCGCCUCGUCGCAACCCCCUUCGCAGACCCCUUCUCCCUCUUCCCCUCCUCCUCGCUGCUCCCAGACCACAGCCCCGUCUUCUUCCUCCUCCUUUCUGUAUUUGUGACUGCUGUAAUUUUGAAUUGUUAAUUUUGAAUUAUUAUUUUUUACUAUAAUUUUGAAAAAUGUCAUUUUUGAUGUUAAUAUUCUUUUUUUAGUUAUCUUACAAGCUCUGAACUCGAUUGUUCUUCCAAUUUGUUGGUUUUUCAUGUAUCUUCCAACGAGUUUCGUUUGCGUGUCUUGGUUUAUUGCAAAACCAUACUUGGCUUUUCUCAUUUCCCUUUCUUUGAUUACAUUGCAGAGCAUGAGCAUAAGUAAUUUCAGUGAAUCUGAUGUUAGACAAAACAUUAUGCAUCUUCCUCCUAAUCUGAAUGCUGAAGUACCUAUUAGGACAAACUUGAAUAUCAUCUGUAUACAAUCAACAUAGUAAAUUCCAUUGUCACUCUUAUGCCGCAUAUUUGAUGAAAAUACAUUUGAUAUCAUUUUUCAAUAUCUGCAGGGAUAUAGUGUGCUUCACAGUUUCUGAAGCUACUAACUACAAUAGAUAAAUAGUGGAAGGUAGUGUCAGUGCGCAUGUGUCAUAUCAAGACAUUAUUUCAGUGGUGGAGAAUUGCUUGGAUGUGAGCAUGAUAAUAAGUAAAUGAUCAAAGGUACUCUUAAUCAACACUCAAACACCAUUUAUAGACUUAAAUCUGAAAGAAAUGGUUUAUGGGAACUGAAUGCACGUGGAUUUAUGUGAGGAAUUUUAUCUGAUACAGAUGAUCAGCUGGAAGUUUUCAACUUCCUUUUGGUUGGAAGCAGAUACAGAAAAUAUAUUUAGUUUGGACUUUGGAUGUGCUUGAUCUGAGGUAGAAGAGGAGUUGGACUUAGAGAGGGAAGCAAUUAGAUUAGUUUUUUUGUAUUUUUCUGCAAACAGGACACGAUACUGCUUCAAAAGAUGAUGUUUUUGUUGCAAAAAAGGCUCUUUUGCCUUUUCCCAUGUAACAAUUCCUCCAUUUAUCUUUCCUCCUAUCAACUUUGCGGCCUGUUUAACUUUUCCACUGCCACAUACGAAAGUUCAGAGCACAGUUCCAACUUUAUAGUGGUCAACCCCCUUCAAUCAUGUGAACUUUCCUCGGAAAAGGCUGCAAAAGCUGCCAAGUAUCACACCUGUCGUAAAAAUUCUUCGAGUCUUUCCAUUGAGUUCUUUAAGCAGAACGGUUGGAGCGAUGCACAAGUCAUGAAACUUACCCAGAAGGCACCCAAGUUGCUGCGUGCUAAGGUAGAGACUACACUGAAGCCCAGGAUGAGAUCUUUGCAGGACAUGGGAUUUUCUGUUGCUGAAAUAGUUCAGUUGGUUUCAAAAUGGCCGACUAUACUCUUUAAUAAUAUCCAACCGAAUUUGAACUUCUUGAGGUCACUACUUGGUUCUAAUGAGAGGUUACUGAUAGCCUGCAGGAGGAAUGGAUUUCUUCUUAAUUCUAACUUACCUCGGAAGAUAGAGCCUAAUAUAUCUCUCUUAAGGGAAUGUGGCAUCAGUAAUGAACGCAUCGCGCGUAUGGUGGUGACGAUGCCGAGUUUUGUUGUUCGAAAAAGCAAAUUUAUUAAGGAAGUUAUUGAACAUGUUGAGGAGUUGGGUGUGCCACGUGAUUGUGGAAUGUUCCCUCAUGCACUUCUUGUUGUCAUGAACGUGAGCAGAUCUAAGUGUGAUGCUACCUUUGCAACCUUUAAGAGCUUUGGUUGGUCCCAGCCAGACAUCAUUGCCAUACUCAGGAAGAGCCCAUUUGUUUGGAAACUCUCAAAGAAGAACGUAUCUGACAAGAUGACAUUCCUGAUGAAGGAAGCUGGUUGUGAGCUGCAGUAUAUCAUUAGUCAUCCUGUACUUCUUUCACUUAGCUUGGAGAAGAGGUUGAGACCUCGACAUGAAGUUAUAAAUUUUCUUGAGCAGAAUAAAUUGCUGGAUAAAGGACAUAGCCUUAUAUAUGUCUUGACACUAACUGAGCAGAAGUUCAUAAACAAAUAUCUUUUCCCGUACAAGGAGAAAUUUACUGCUCUCUAUUAUUCCUAUGUUGCUGCUGUGCAGGGAAAGCAACAUGUUGUCGUUGAAAAUUAGGAUUGCAAAUGCUCCGUCGAGACUGGCAAAGUGUAAACCUAUUGCAUACUGAUUGGUGUUGAUUUUGAUAUUUUAUUUCUAAUUAUCUUUUACGUACAACACAAGAUACCGUUUAUUUUAUACCGAUGUUCUAAAUCUUUUGUGUUAUGUUUCUAUGGUAGCUAGCUAUUUCUGUCGGCUGAUCGGUGGCGACUUGGCCUCAGACAUGCGUGGGAAAAUAAUUGAUGUGUGGAGAAACAAUAUUGUGCGAUUGACUCUUCAUCAUAUUGUCAAUAUCUCUGCGCCAUAUCUAUCUCUAUUAGAGCCUCUCUUCUUACAGGAGAGCUCUUCAUCAUAUUCUUAAUGUCUCUGCUGCCAUCUCUAUCUCUAUUAGAGCCUCUCUUGUCUACUUGGAGACUUGUUCGUACUGAUGUUGACUCAGAAAUUGGAAGAACGAGUGUGGAAACAGUCACAAACAUAAAAUAAUAAAUAAUACAUUGAUAGAUUUUCUUCUUCAUUUUUUCUUCUUUUCAUUUAUUUCCUAUGAGACGGUCGAUAUGUGCCUCAGCGGUCAUACUAAGACUGUGGCUUCAUUGAAGCAUUAGUUAUUUUGGCAACCAAAAUAAUUUAAUCUGACAUUUCAAUUUUAGUAUGGCAUCGACUGUUUUGUUACACGAGCAUCCGAUAAGUGGGGUGAGAGUCCCACGAAGUCAACCGGAGAAGGUUCGACGGGUCCGGCGCCCGAAUCAUUAAAAUCCGGAUCGAACCCGAGUCAUAUUUCGAACCCCACCCAAACCCCCGCGGCGCACCCCUGCCCUAAUCGAAGCGACCGCCAAACUCUCUUUUUCUUCGGCGAGUGCGGCGUCUCCUCAGUGAACGACGGCUGCCUUCCUCUACAUCGGGAAACAGCGACAGUUGGCGGUGGCGUUUUCCCCUCCCGGUAUCUCUCUUUCUCUUUCUCUUCCUCCUUCGCCAUCGAACACUCCCUUCUCCUCCCUCUUUCCCCUCUGUUCAUCGCAGCCCCCGCCGCCACCACGCCCCACGCGCGCCACCCCCCCCUUCCCCGAUCCCUCCUCCCUCUCCCCCUUUCGUCGCAAGCUCGCCCCCUUCCCCGGCACCAACCUUCUCCUCCUGCCUCCCUCUUCCCUCUUCCCCCAAUUUUUCUUCGUUUUUCUUCCUCGACACCAUCCUCGCCCUCCCUUCUCGUUCCUCCUCCCUCCUCCCUCCUCCCUCCUCCCUCCUCCCCCUGUUCAUCGCAGUCCCUCGACCCCUCGCCUCGUCGCAACCCCCUUCGCAGGCCCCUUCUUCCUCUUCCCCUCCUCGUCGCUGCUCCCAGACCACAGCCCCGUCUUCUUCCUCCUCCUCACUCCUCCUUUCUGUAUUUGUGACUGCUGUAAUUUUGAAUUGUUAAUUUUGAUGUUAAUUUUGAAUUAUUAUUUUUUACUAUAAUUUUGAAAAAUGUCAUUUUUGAUGUUAAUCUUCUUUUUUUAGUUAUCUUAUUAUUAGAUUUGGAUAAUUUAGCACUUUAAUGGUUUCUAGAUAGUUAAAUAAAUGUAAUUUGAUAUUUAGUGGUGAUGAUUUGAAUAUGAAAUUAGGUGAAACUCAUUUUGUCUAAUUUUUAUUUUAAUGGCUGGCUUUUUGUUAAUUAUAUUUUUUAUUAUUUUAUAUUGGCUAGUUCUUUGCCGAGCUUGGGCGAGCGCCUUUAACGAUACUGUCUUGAACAUUGGUACAGUAGCAUGAAACAAGUGAUCUUUUUUACAUACUCAUCUCCUGAUCAUUGUAACCCAUUAAGGAGGCCAUAAAAAAUAAUUUUGAUAUAUUACUUUAGAUUAACGUAACUUGAUUGUAGCCAGAAACUGUGGUCAAAUAUGGUGCUCAGUGUUUGGAAUUUCUUAUCGUACAAUAUCUCCAAUGAUGUUUUUUUUUUUACAACUGACAAUUAAUUUCUGGUUCUUGGAUAUCAGCUGGUUCACUGACCUCAGAUUGUGAGUUUUAUCAGUCUCAGAUGUUCAAUGUUCUGAAAAUGCGUGCAUGUCAUGUAUGAGAAUUUACUUUGGGGAAAUAGCAAGCUACAAGUUGAAUAAUGUUGAUAAGAUAGACAGCAGGAGAAGUGCUACUUUUAACGAGAGCAAAGAGAAUUGGACAGUCUUUUGCAGAAAAAAAAAUGCAUGAAAAAGAUAGAACAAGAGAUAGCAGAGAUGGUAAAUGGGUCACUGGUCAAGGAAAAUUAUAUUCUUUUGUCCAUAGAAUCAUGUAUACGUCUGACAAUUCCACAUCCGUUUUACUUUUAUAUAAAUCUAAGAUGAACACAUUAGAAUAUAGUUUCUUUCAUUCGUUAAUCUUUUCUUUAUACAAAGGAAGACAUAGAUAGGUUGAUUACUAACUGUACAACUAAGGAAAUUGAUUCCAUACAAUUUUUUAUUCUAAUUCAUUUCCUGUAAUAUGGGCUGAUUUAAUAUUGAUUGAGUGGUCCAAAAUAGAGGAUAAAUUCCCUUAAUUAUGUGAUUAUUAAAUGCUUAAUUAUGGAAUUUUGUAUAUUCCCCCUCAAGCUAGUUCAAAAAUGUUAAUCAUUCUUAGGUUGUUAGUUAGAUCCACAUAAGAAAAUAUUUGAGGCUCAUUAGUAAAAAUAUUUGCUAGUUGCUUCUUUGUAGGAAUAUAAGAUAUGCAGACAAUUCCUUCUUUAAUUUUCUCCUUUAUGAAAUAUCAAUCUACUUCAACAUACUUUGUUCUUUCAUGGUGCAUUGGACUAUGAGCAAUAUUGAUAGCAGUCGUAUUGUCAUAAAUUUAGAUAAUUUUCCCACUAUGUUGUUAAUUAAUUAAACAGUUCCUUUUCUACUUACCAGUCUUGCUAGAUUUAUAGCUUGGUCAUCUUUUUACAUUCUUGAUGAAAUGGAUCAAUUACUCUGGAAGUACUCAGUUGAAAUGUUUCAGGUUUUUGUUGUAGGACAUUAGUGACUCUGAUGUUAGAGAAAACAUUAUGCAUCUUCCAGUUAUUCUGAAUUCUGUAGUACCAUUUGCAAGUCAUUGUUGUUCAACCUGUAAGUAUAAACAUGAGUAUCGUCUGUAAACGAUCAAGAUGGUAAAUGCCUUUGCCACUCUUAUGCAGCAUAUUUGAUUAAGAUACAUUUGAUAUGGUUUUUAAAUUGCUACAGUGAUAUAGGAUGCUUGGUAGUUUCUAUACCCACCAACUACAAUAGAAAAAUAAGUGGAAUUUAUUGUCUGCGCGCAGGUGUUAUUUGAAGCCAUUAUUUCAGCGGUGGAGAAUUGCUUGGAUGAGCGUGAGAUUGAGUAACUAAUUAUAGUUACUCUUUAUCAACUCGCAGACACCAUUUAGAGACUUAUCUCUUAAAGAAAUGGCUGAUUGGAACUGAAUGAUUGUGUAUUAACAUGAGUUCUAGAGGACUGUUGUCUGAGACAGAUUAUUAGUUGAAAGUUUUCAACAUCCUUGAUUUGAGGCAAAGGAGGAAUUUGGAUUGGAGAGGGCAGAAAUAAGACUACUUUUCUUGUAUUUUUCUGCAAACAGUACGUUAUACUGCCUCAAAAGACAAUGUUUUUGGUGCAGAAGAGGCUCUUUUGCCUUCUCUCAUGUAACAAGUCCUCCAUCCAUCUUUCCUCCUAUCAAUUCUGCAGUCUGUUUUCAAAUCAUAGAUCCAAAUUUAUGUUGGUCGAACCCCUUGAGUCAUGUGAACCUUCCUCAAAAGAGGCUGCAAAAAUGGCCAAGGAUCGCAUCUGUGAAAAAAAACUUCCAAUUUCGAGUCCUUCCAUUGAGUUCUUUAAGCAGAGCGGCUGGAGUGAUGCACAAGUCAUGAAGCUUACCAAGAGGGCACCCAAUUUGCUGAAUGCUAAUGUAGAGACUGCCCUGAAGCCCAGGAUGAGACAUUUGCAGGACAUGGGAUUUUCUGACACUGAAAUAGUUCAGCUAGUUUCAUCAUGUCCGCGUGUGCUCGUUUAACGUGACAUCGAACCGAGGAUCAACUUCUGGAGGUCACUAUUAGGUUCGAAUGAGAGGCUUCUGAAAGUCUGCAAGAAGAACAUGUUUAUUCUUAGUUUUAGCUUGACUCGGAAUAUAGAACCCAGUAUCUCUCUCUUGAGGGAACAUGGCAUCAGUGACGAGCGUAUUGCGCAUAUGGUGUUGACAGUGCCUGGCUGUUUUUGUGGAAUAGACAAAUUAAAGGAGGUUAUCAAAUAUACCGAGGAAUUUGGUAUCCCACGUGACUCUGGACUAUAUACGUAUGCACUUCAUGUAGUCAUGAGCAGGAAGAGAUCUAGUUUUGAUGCUAACAGUGCAACUCUGAUGAGCUUUGGGUGUUCCCAGCCUGACAUCGUUGCUGUAUUCAGGAAGUGCCCAUACGUUUGGACAUUCUCAAAGAAGACCAUAUGUGACAAGAUGACUUUCCUGAUGAAGGAAGUUGGUUUUGAGCUGAAAUCUAUCAUUCGCUGUCCCGUGAUUCUUACUUGCAGCUUGGAGAAGAGGCUGAGACCUCGAUAUGAGGUUUUGAAUUUUCUUAAGCGGAAUAAAUUGCUGGAUGAAGGACAUAAUCUGCUAUCCGUCAUACAACUAACCGAGGAGAAGUUCAUCAAGAAAUAUCUUUUCCAGCACAAGGAGAAAUUUACUUCUCUCUAUGAUUCCUAUCUUGCUGCUGUGCAGGGAAAGCCAUAUGUUGUUACUUGAAAUUGAAACUUUAUAUUAAAAAGAUCAAGUUCAUACUGACGGCACUAUUUAAUCAUCUCAAAUUUUGUGACAUUAUAAAUUCUCCAGGAGUUUCUUGUUGUAUAACAUCCGUGAUGAUUUUGAGAUUCUUUUUUUAUUAUUUAUUUUUUUUACAACAAAAUUUAAGGAUUCUUUGAUAUUGUUGUUGACUCAGAAAUUGGAAGAACGAGUGGGGAAACAGUCACUUCCUCAGAAAGGUAACCCAAAUUUUCUCAAGCUUUUGUGUCAUGUUUCUAUCAUAGCCAGCUAGUUUCUAUCAGCUGAUCAGUGUCAACUUUGCCACGGUCACGUUAAUUGGUGUGAGGUGUUACAAAAGAAACUUUAUUAAUGGUUAUGUUGGAACUUGUGAAGUCAUCUUAGAAUGUUAAUUUGUUGGAGUUUUUAAUGUUGUGGAAGAGCCAUAUUGAUAUGGAUUUCCUUGAUCCAAUGUCUGCUUAGUUCACCAUCUCGCCAGCUAUAAGGAUACAAUUCUCUGUCAGAUAAUUUGUACCUUCUGAAACAUGUUGUAAGUAUGAAACUCCAAAUUUUAAUUGUUUUUUAAUAACAUUUUUGUUUAGUUAUUUAAUUUUAAUUUAUACCUUCUGAGAGGCUCUAUUGUUGCGUCACAGAUCCAAAGAUAAUUGGAAUGACCAUCAUCUCUACUGUUAAGAGAUCAAAAGCAAGAUAAAAUAUUAAUUCUAAUUUUAAUUGGUCUUUCAAAUUGUUGUGACCGAGAAACAAUGAAGAACUUUGUUGGGAUGAUUUGUAAGUAAAUUUUAUUAUUCAUUGGCUGUAAUAAUACUUCAAAUUUUAUUUUUGACAUAAUACUCAAUUCUUGAUGAACAGUAUGAUCUUCUUCUUUGUUUUUUAUGCUCUAUUAUUGGUUGUUAUGCAUAUGAGGUUUUUGAAGUUACGCUUCCUUCUAAUCGGUGUUAAGCUGUGUAUAUUUGGGGUCCCGUGUAUUUUUCUCUAGUAUCUCAUGUAAGAUUUCUAAACAACAAAUUGAAAGCUUUUCUUAUGUGAUAAUAGGAUCUUGUCAAACUAUUGGGUACUUAAAUCAUAAAAUCAAACCUUAGAAAAGGAUGCAUAUCUCGUGUAUCAUAACUUAUGAUGCUAUAUUUGUUGAGAAAUUCAUUAGAUGUGUUGUAAAAGGAGACUUUUUGGAUCCACUCAUGUUGUGAUUGGUUAGCUUUUUUAUAGUAUAAAAAUAUAAUGUUUUAUAAUUAUUUCUGAUUUGAUAUUUUAGACUUUUGAUAUAUCUUUAUAUCUAUUAUCUUUAAUGGAGUCCAAAAAUAUAUUCUUUUUUGUCUAUUGUCAAGAAAGUAAAUGAUAUUGUCUUAGUUGUUAAAGACCAACUUACCAUAUAACCUCAUACAAUCUACUAAAAUAUUACAUAAAAGAAAAUAAGUUAGCGUUUCCUUAUUUUACGUACCGCUUUAUAAUAUCCAGUUCAAGUACACUAGAAAAUUUUCGCAAUCAUAAAAUACUAAAUGAUUGAAAGGUACUAAAUAAAACUAGGAAAUUUUCACAAUCAUCAAAAUACUAAAUGAUCGAAAGGUACUGAAUAAAACUAUAACGUGACUUAUUUUCUAACUCAAAAUCUUAAUGCAUUUGGUUAAGUAUAACCUUACAUCUUUUAUCUCAACAUAUUCUCUAUUGCAAUAUCGUAAUGUCACGAACUUAGCUGGUUUUGCCUAAGUCGUGCGGUACCCUUGCGUGUCCGUCCGCAAAGGUUAGCCUCCCCGAAGUCUCCCAUGUCCCUUAGGACUCACGAAAGAGAGAACGGGUUAGAGAAAACGUCUCAAUCGGGAUCCACAAGCAAACAUCUCCGAAAAACACUUCAUAGACAAUACAAAUUACAAACAGACUUUACAAGCUCUGAACAGUUGCACAACAAAGGGUAAAAUGGUCAAUUACAGACCGAAAAUCUUUCACACGUGUCCACAUGACACAACCUUUAUUUACAAGCCUAAAGAGGCCACCAACUUAACUAAAAUGGGACUAUUACGCCUUCGAUCAUCCCUCUACAUGCUGUACAAGGUAUGAACAUACCAAAAGGCACGGACAUACAUAAGCAUUACAUCAAACAUCCUAUUUAGAAGUUUGUCCGUGACAUUAAGUCAUUAUCUUGACAACUUGUUCGUACCUUCAAACACGUUGCACUGCUUACAUUUAAAUUAUCAAAUCUUGUAUUUAAAGGUUUAAUUGGUUAUUUGAAGGAGAAUUUACUAGUAACAAUACAAAGAGAUUUUAGAUUUUAAUGCUUUUAAGAAAAUGGUUGUAUUCCUAUUGUAAUAUAAUAUAUGAAUAUGCGAACCAUAAAUGAAUUUGCAUUGUAAUUACCUCAUAUAAUCCAUUGUGAAUGAAUCUGUAUUAGAAAAUAAGAAUGAAUUGGCAACAAGUAAACAUGUGGUCGAUAAAAUGAAUCAGUUCUAUUUUGAUGAAGUGUUUGGUUAAUCAAAUCUCUUAGAUUUCUUUUUCAAACACAUCAGAAAAUUUCAAUAAUCAACAAAACCCCAAAUGAUCCAAAUAUGCUGAAUAAUUAUAACAUAACUUAUUUCCAAACUUCAAAAUAGACCCAAUAUCUAAACGCAUUUAGAUAAGUAUAGCUAGUCCUUAUCUAUGUUCGAUUUGAAUUAACUAAAUCAAAUCGAUUGUCCAUUAAUUGCAAAUUGAAUACAAGGGACAAUUAAUUUUAGUUCUUAGAUUUCCAAUCAUCAAUUUGAUCAUUUUUAUAUAAAAAAAAUCUCGAUCAAAUAGGUUGUCGAUCGGCUGUUGAACUAAAAUGAUCGAGCCCAAUAAUCCUCGCUUAGCCUAAUAAUCAGAGAGGAAAAUGGUUAGUUUGCUCUUUUAGACAGUGAUAUAAAUGACUACAUUUAGGGGUAUUUUAUCUUUUUUAAUUAAAAAUUAAAAAAAUAAAUUUAUUCUUUCAACAACCAAAUAAUUGUUAGUUAUGGGGAUAUUUUAAGAAAAAAAAUAAAAAAACCCUAUAAAUACUCUUAAAAUCUCUAAUUUUCUCUCACACCAUUGAUUAAGUACUCAUGGAAGUUUGAAUACUCUUAUGCUUUUUUUUAAUAUGAUGAUAAGUGGACGCUACUAACUUUACUACCAAGAAGGCUUUUGAAAACCUAAUAUUUGUAAUUCCAUAAAGCAUGGAUAUAAGCCGAAAAUAAUCUUCAAACUAUAUUUUAAAAAUUCUUGAAACAUCGAUCACUCGUUCCAUAUCAUAUGGAAUUAUUAGAGUAAAAAAAAUUUAAAUUCAAAGAGAAAAAAAUAUACAAAGAAAGUAUAUUAUAAAGAAACAUCCAAUAAACAGUAGAAAGAGAUUUGAAUGUUUUAAAUUUGACUACAUGUGUUUUCUUACACAGAGCAUAAAUAGUUCGGAUAUUUUAUGGCUUUUGUUAUUAUUUUGAUUGUUAGCACUUGAUGGCUUUAUUGGCAAAUUCUCACUGAUUUAGAUUAUGGCUUUAUUGAGAGAAAGUUCUUUGCUACGGCUGAAGCCAUUGAUGUCACCGGGCGCCCGAUAAGUGGGCCGGGCGAGAGAGUUCAACCGGGUGCAGCCCAGGAGCCCGCCUGAUUCAGGUUGUGUCGAGCCCGAGUCAAGUCAAUUUGAGUCUCUGGUUCGAUUGAACCAGAUGAGAACGGCGUCCUCAAAAUUCGCACCCGUGCCCUAAAUGCAGCGGCGAAACUAUCCUUCUAUACAGCGACCGCGACUGCGGUGUUUUCCUUGGCGAAAGGCGGCAGCAGCGGCGGCAUCUUCCUCCGUCGAGCUCUUAUCGCUGCGGCAUUUUCCUCAGAGAACGGUGGAUGCUGCGGCUUCCUCUCCGUCAGCGAACGGUACAACACCCGGUAUCUCUCUCUUACUCCUCCUCCUCCUCCUCCUUCGCCGUCGCACAAUCCCUUCUCCUCCCUCCUCCUCCCUCUUCCCCCUUUCGUCGCAGCUCUCCCGCUUCCCUGACACCAUCCUUCUUCUCCCUUCUCCACCCUCCUCUCUCUUUCACCCGUUCAUCGCAGCCCCUCGCCCCUCUUCCCCGAUCCCUUCCCCUCCUCCACUUCAUCACAGUCCCCGCCCCCUGUUUUCCUACUCCGAUCCCAACGGUCCCCUCUCCGUUUUCCUACUCCGGACCCGACAGCCCCCUCUCCAUUAUCUUGCUCCGGCCCCGACAGCCCCCAUCUCCCUCCUCUACACCCCUCUUCGCCCUCUCUAUACAUCUUCCCCUCCCCUUUCCUACUCCCUGAUAGUUACCCGCUACCCUCCCAACAUGCAGUCAGCAGCAUGUCAUGAGCAUAUACUUUAAAGAAAUAGCUAGUCACAGUAUGCAAGUUAAAUAUUGUUGUUAAGAUAGACAGCAGGAGAAGUGCUGCUUUUAUAAAGAGCAAAGGGAAUUGGGGAGUCUUAGAGAAAAAGAAAAAAACACAGAAAAGAUAGAGCAAGAGAUAGCAGAGACAAUAAUUGGAUCACUGUCCAAAGAAAAUCAUAAUUAUUUGUCAAUAGAAUCAUGCACAAGUCUGACUAUUCCUCAUGUGAAGCAUUUUAAUUAAAAAUAUACCUAAGAUAAUACUAAUCUGACUAGGUUUCCCAAAAGAAGCUCUCUCAACAGCAACUGCUUAUUUUGAUGAAGUGUUUGGUUCAUCAAACUUCUUAGUUUUCAUAUUAUGUUUACUGCAUUGAAGUUUCCUUUUCAAGCACAUCAGAAAAUUUCUACACAAAACCCCAUAUGAUACAAAGGACUCGAAUCAAUCUAAUCUACAUGUUGAGUAAACAACUAGAAUUUGACUUGAUUUCAAAACCCGAAAAUAGACCCAAAAUCUCAAUGUAUUUGGUUAGGUAUAAUCUUACACCUUUAUGUCAGCAUAGUUUGUUCUCUGCUGUAGUGCUGAAAGCAACUAUCUCCGCUACUUGUGGCUGAUUCGUACCUCAGAACACACCGGCCUGCUUAUAUUUGAAUUGUCAAAUCUUGUAUUUGCUGGUUUAGUUGGUGAUUUGAAGGAGAUUUUGCAGGUGACAAUAGAAAGAGAUUUGAAUGUUCUUAAUUUAAUUACAGAUAUUUUCUUACACAGAGUUCAAUGAUGCAGAAGAUCCAUAUGGCUGAUCAUCAAUAGUUUGGACAUCAUGGCUUUUGUUAUUAUUGUGGUUGUUUGUACUUGCUGGUUUUAUUGGCAAAUUCUCACUGAUCUAGGCUUUUUUUUCUUCAUUAAUGAUAUGUAGCUGACGCUACUUAUAAUUUUUUUACUGUAGUUGAAGUUAUUUACAUGAGGAAUCUUUCUCAUAAAUUAAGUUCCUUUAUCAGCAUAGAACCAAAUAAACUAGUAGCAUUUCUUGAUUGAGGCAGUUUUCUUAUCUCUUUAUUCAUUUUUCAGAAAAUUUAUUGCCUUUCUCUGGUCUUCCAGCUAUGUUUUUUUUUUUUGGCAACUUUCUCAUCAUCAUCAACAAUGCCCUUUUUAGCAUGUUGAACAUCACAAAUUACCCUUGUUAAUUAAUUAAACAGUGUCUUUUCUGCUUACCAGUCUUGCUAGACUUUUAACUAGAUCAUCUCUUUACAUUCUUGAUGAAAUGGAUCAAUUACUCCCCAAUGUUUCAGAUUUUAGUGGUAGGACAUUAGUGAAUCUGAUGUUAGAGAAAACAUUAUGCAUCUUCCUGUUAUUCUAAAUUCUGUAGUACCAUUUGCAAGUCAUUGAUGUUCAUAUGAGUAUCGUCUGUAUACGAUCAACAUGGUAAAUGCCUUUGCCACUCUUAUGCAGCAUAUUUGAUGAAGAUACAUUUGAUAUGGUUUUUAAAUUGCUACAGGGAUAUAGGAUGCUUGGUAGUGUUUAAACCAACCAACUACAAUGGAAAAAUAAGUGGAAUAUUGUGUCUGUACGCUGGUGUUGUAUGAUGCCAUUAUUUCAGAAGUGGAGAAUUGCUUGGAUGUGAGCAUGAUAAUAAGUAACUAAUCAUAGGUACUCUUUAUCAACUCUCAAAAACCAUUUAGAGACUUAUCUAUGAUAGAAAUGGCUGAUUGGAACUGAAUGCAUGUGGAUUAACACGAGUGGUAUAGGAAUGUUGUCUGAGACAGAUGAUUAGUUGAAAGUUUUCAACAUCCUUGAUUUGAGGCAGAAGAGGAAUUUGGACUUGGAGAGCGCAGAAAUAAGAUUACUUUUCUUGUAUUUUUCUGCAAACAGUACGUGAUACUGCCUCAAAAGACAAUGUUUUUGGUGCAGAAGAGGCUCUUUUGCCUUCUCUCAUGUAACAAGUCCACCGUCCAUGUCUCCUCCUAUCAACUCUGCAGUCUGUUUAGCUUUUCCACUGCCGAAGAGCACAGUUCAAAUCAUAGAUCCAACUUUACGUUGGUCGACCCCCUUGAGUCAUGUGAACUUUCCUCAAAAGAGGCUGCAAAAAUGGCCAAUGAUCGCAUCUGUGAAAAAGAACUUUCAAAUUCAAGUCUUUCCAUUGAGUUCUUUAAGCAGAGCGGUUGGAGUGAUGCACAAGUCAUGAAGCUUAUGCAGAGGCAACCCAGGUUUCUACGUGCUAACGUAGAGACUAUCCUGAAGCCCAGGAUGAGAUCUUUGCAGGACAUGGGAUUUUCUGACACUGAAAUAGUUCAGCUGGUUUCAUCAUGUCCGGUUCUGCUCUAUUUACGUGAUAUCAAACCAAGGAUCAACUUCUGGAGGUCACUUCUUGGUUCUAAUGAGAG
rnacentral:lncRNA from 1 species